rnacentral:lncRNA from 1 species
CGACCAACCCCUUCAAGCCGCCACAUGGUUGCGAUGGCCUCACACCUAAGUCCUUGUACGAGGAGAUCUGCCGUGACAAAACCACGACACCGUGCUAGGCCAGAAGGAAGCAUCUCCAAGGGCCAUGAAAGAGAGGAGGCCAUUGAGUUUUCUGUUGACUUUAUUCCUGAUAUUAAGACGAUUGUUGUUCCUCAGUCGCGGCAUGAGGGGAGACUGAGUGGAAAAGGCAUGCUAGGACCAAAAUCAAUAAUAUGUAGGUAUGGGCAUUCUUGGAUGCAAACACACUACAUAAUUUUACAAAAUUCUACCUUGGUGGCCCCGUAUAUCAAUGAACACAAGAAUAUUCUAUGCUCCAAAUACCAGGAGCAGUCUGGUGACUCGAUUACACAUGAACAAAUGGGGACUUUCGACGGUUGGCUGCAAACACGUCUCAGGAGUAACAAAUUGUUGGAGAUGACUUGUAGUUGUUGUCCAGGACACCAUCUUCGGCCGUAUUGACUUUCCAAGGGUACGAGAUAAAUGGGAAUACAUUUUACAAAAUCGCCCAAGAUAAAAAGAGAACCAACCAAAACAGUGGUUUCCGCUUUGAUGCAGGAAACACCAAUAGGGCAAAGGACAAAUAUUAUGGUUACAUAGAGGAGAUAUGGGAACUUGACUAUGGGCGUGAUGAUUUUAAGGUCCCUUUAUUUCGGUGCAAAUGGGUAAAUCUGAUAGGAUGCGGGGUACAGGUAGACCCGCAGUAUGAAAUGACAACAGUGGAUCUCAACAAUCUUGGGUACACAGAUUAACCAUUCAUCAUAGCCAAUGAUGUGGCGCGGGUUUUCUAUGUGAAGGUCAUGUCUACCAAACCAAGAAAAAGGAAAAAAUAAGGAAGUGAAUACAUCAUACGAUGAGACAAAGAGCCACAUAGUUCUUUCAGGGAAAAGAAAGAUCCUGGGAGUGGAGGACAAGGCAGACAUGUCAGUAGAUUAUGAAAAGUUUCAUGAAAUUACUCCCUUCAUAGUGAAGAUUUACCUAAGCAUCCUCUUAAAUGAUGAAGAUUAUUCAUGGUUACGACGCAAUAAGAAAAGGGACAAACUGGAGAGAAUCUUAGCUAGUGCAUUUUGGCAUUUGAAACAUGAUUUUAGAAUAAUUAUUUAUUAAAUUAUGAAUUUUCAAUUAUUCCUGUCCUUUUAUUAUUCAAGAUAAGCCGCUUGAGGUACGAAGGAGAUUGUACAGUUUGUACACGAAGUGCAUCCAUUUUUGUUGUAACCCUCUCAACUUUCUAGACGAUGCUAUGUGGGUGAAAUGAUGAUACCAUGCCAAAUUUCAACCUUUUCCGAGUUCAUUUGUAGUGCUUUUCAAUUUCAGGGUCAUUUGACUCAAAAAACCAUUGAAUGCAUGAAAAAUAGCAAAUGAAGUCAGAAAGGGUUGAAAAUUGCUGAUGUGGCUUUGAAUGGUGCAUAUUGAAUGCGCAAAAAGUUUGGAGUAGAAAUAAGCUUAAAAAUGAAAUGCCUUUGUAACAAAUGAGUUUUUGUCCGAAACCAUCAUACUUUGAAAGAGAUUGUCCAGUUCGUACACGACGUUCAUCCAGUUUUUGCCGUAACUCUCUCAACUUUUUAUCACAUGCUAUGUGGGUGAAAUGAUGAUAGCAUGCCAAAUUUCAACCUUUUCAGAGUUCAUUUGUAGUGCUUUUCAAAGUAAUAUGUGGGUGAAAUGAUGAUCCGGAAGAAACAUUUUGACAGCAUUAAUCGCCCCGUGUCAUAUUUUCAAAAACAUAUUGAUAAACCACCACCCAAUGCUAGCCCUUGAAUGCGAAAUGUUGCGGGAAUGGUACCUAUGAAAAAUAUCUCUAUAGAGCUAUUAGUCACUCUUUGAUGAAAACCUAUAUAAUCAAUCAUUGCAUUCAUACAAUCAUUCACUCUAGCAAGCAUUCCAGUAAUCAAAAUACAAUCAAUGAAUAAAGCAAUAAAUAAAACAAUAAGGUUAUUAGGUUAAAAAAAGUAUUUUAUAAUAUUCUUCAAUAGCAAAAAGAAUCAACUAGAAAGCUUUUAUAAAACUCUUGUUAUGAUCAAAAUAUUAUUAACUUAACAUUAUAUAAAAUUUAACCAACUAAAAUUUUCAUGAAGUAUUUUUUCUUAAAAACUUUAAUAGUAAACAUAAUUAAAUGAAAACUAGGCAUGUAUGCAUCUGUUUAAAAGAAAACUAGGCAUGUAUUUUUUUCUCCAACGUAUCGAUAAUUUUUUAUUGUUCCAUGCUAUUAUAUUAUAUGUUUUGGAUGUUUUAUAUGCAUUUAUAUGUUGUUUUAUAUUAUUUUUGGGACUAACCUAUUAAUCUAGAGUCUAGUGCGAGUUUCUGUUUUUCCACAUUUUUGAAUAUUGUAGAUAAAGAAUAUUAAAUGGAGUCCAAAUGGAAUAAAAUCUGCGAAAAGAUUUUUUUCUCGACGAGAAGACACGUAACAUACUUAGGGUAGGGGGCAAGGCAGUUGUCGGGAGGCCACAAGCCUGCAGGGAGCAACGAGAACACUUUUACGCCGCCGGGAAACCCCUGCACGUCUUCUAACCCUAACUCUUGGCCUAUAAAUUCCCAAAUAUUCCAGAAACACUAGAGGGAGCAACGAGAAUGCUUUUACGCCGCCGGGAGCCUCUGUUCCCAAGAGAUCCAAUCUGGAAGCCUUGUCCGGCAAUCUGCUGGAGAGGGAAUUGAUCACGGAGGGCAUCUACAUCAACUCCAUUGCCCCUCUGAUGAUGUGUGAGUAGUUCACCACAGACCUAUGGGUACAUAGCUAGUAGCUAGAUGGCUUCUUCUCUCUCUUUGAUCUUCAAUACGAUGUUCUUCAUGAUCUUCAUGGAGAUCUAUCCGAUGUAAUACUCUUUUGCGGUGUGUUAGUCGAGAUCCGAUGAAUUGUGAGUUUAUGUUCAGAUUAUCCAUGAAUAUUAUUUGAAUCUCUUUUGAAUUCUUAUAUGCAUUAUUUCAUAUCCUUGCAAUUCUCUUUGAAUUAUUUGUUUUGUUUAGCCAACUAGAUUGAUAAUUCUUGCAAUGAGAGAAGUGCUUAGUUUUGGGUUUAAUCUUGCGGUGUCCUCACCCAGUGACAGUAAGGGGUAGCAAGGCACGUAUUGUAUUGUUGCCAUCAAGGGUAAAAAGAUGGGGUUUUCAUCAUAUUGCUUGAGUUUAUCCCUCUACAUCAUAGCAUCUUACUUAAUGUGUUACUCUGUUCUUCAUGAACUUAAUACUCUAGAUGCAGGCAUGAGUCGGUCGAUGUGUGGAGUAAUAGUAGUAGAUGCAGAAUCGUUUCGGUCUACUUGAUACGGACGUGAUGCCUAUAUGCAUAAUCAUUCCCUUGGAUAUCUUCAUAAUUAUUUGCUUUUCUAUCCAUUGCUCAACAGUAAUUUGUUCACCCAUCGUAUUAUUUUCCUUUAUGAGAGAAGCCUCUAGUGAAACCUAUGGCCCCAGGGUCUAUUUUUCAUAUCAUAUUUUCAGAUCUAUAAACCAAAAAUACCAAAAAUACUUUGCUACAAUUUAUUUACUUUAGUUUUACUUUCAGAUCUAUCAAUAUUUAAUACCUAUCUCUAUCAGAUCUCACCCUUGCAAAUAACUCUCAAGGGAUUGACAACCCCUUUAAAGCUUUGGGUGCAAGUUUUUGAUUAUUUGUGUAGGUACUACUAUUGGAGUCUUGUUUGUUACUCCUACUGGAUUGAUACCUUGAUUGUCAACAAACUGAGAGAAAUACUUAUCUACUUGGUUGCAUCACCCUUUCCUCUUCAAGGGAAAAUCAACGCAAGCUCAAGAGGUAGCAAGCGCCGCCCCAAUCCCCUACACUUCAUUAACCCUGAUGCCCUCGGCGCCGUCGCCUCCCACACCGUUGCCGACGCGCCCCCCACGCUAUCCCCGAGCCCUUCCUCGUCGCCGACGCCUCUUCGCUAUGAGUGCCCCCCGAUCCCCUCCUCCCGUCGAGGGAGUUGAAAAUGUUUUGGCAAAACGUGGGUUCAUUUAUGUAUCAUCGAAUUUCUGGCAUUCAGUAUGUCCAUUUUUUACCAAUGGUCUUGUCAAUUUUUCCAUUGAUUUUUUAUUCUAUGCAUGCAACACAAAAUGGAAGAAUGCCCGUAUAGUUUUGACGCAGCUGUAUGUGCGACGAUCCUCACCUUGACUAUAGUAAAUGUUAUUCCAUCACUCUACAAUGUGACUACAACUAUUAUAAUUUUAAGUUUGCUAGCAAAUACAAUUUUCUGUUUUCCUUCAAACUGUAAUUUAUGUUUUAUAUUUGUCAACUAGUGUGUCCCUUGCUAUGCAAGACCUUUUCUCCUAGACAAAUUUUUUGUUAGUGACAUGGAAGAAGUGACUCAGAUGACUACUUACCUCAAGAUGAAAGGUGGUUUCAAUUUCAAAUGUACGAUCUAUAAUUAGGUAGAUCAUACAUAUUCUAGUUGUGCUAAUAGAAAGGAUUGACCAAAGCAUACGGUUUUGAGCCUGUUAUGAAAAUAACAUUUGAUAUUGGCACAUAUUCUGUAAGUGAUGACGACACAUGGGUGAAUUUAGACAUGAUGCCCACCUCCGUGUAAGUUUCUUAGAUAGGCUUGUUAAAUAACACUUAGAUUAUACACCAAAAUAGAUGUUAUUCAACUAGAACUUAUCUUCUUUAUUUAGAAUUGAUAGCUUAUUUUCUAUCUCCAAGAAAUAUAAGGGACAUAGUAGACGACACCUAUUACACUAUCUGCAGUAUGCUUACUUGGCAGGAAAAAUGUUACCUUAUGUUCUUUCUUGCUAACAUUGAGUCCCUUAAGGGCAUUUAUGGGGCUUGUCCGAAUGAUGCACGACACCUGCCACUAGUCCAUACCUUGAACAAAGGCAACAUUUGUGGAAAAUGCAUGGUAAGAGUUUCGACUAUAGCAUGUCUUUCACAUAUUUGCUUUCUUCUUACAGAAGUCAAGUGUCGGUUACUAAAUGUUGCUUAGUAUGUUACUAUUUCGUUCAAGGACAGAAGCUCUCAAGAUGGGUUGUGCCUCCGAUGAUGGAUGACCACGAGGAUGUUAUGGCAAUUAUUUUUGCCCACAAGAUCUAUUUCAGAGGUACAUACUUGAUUACACUAGAUGGGCAUCUUAAAAUAAAUGAAUGGAAGCAACUAGUGAGUGACUGCAACUUGAAGAUUGGGGAUUGGUGGCUCUGCGUACUCCACCAUGGAGAUGCAGGGUUUUUUCUAUACUUCAAGAUUGUUCCUACAGGAGAGGAGUACCGUAUUAGUAGUUACGAUGGUUAAUGUUUGUAUAUAUAUAUAAAUGAUGUGUACCAUAAUAUUAAUUAUAUUUUACGUGUUGUAAUAUCUCAUCGGCAUCAAUUUGGGAUGCAAAUGUGGUUCUCUAUAUAAUGAUACAAAAUUGCGUUGUCGUGGAGGCAUUUUUCGCUGCCAUGGCAGCAUUUUUGCUGCGUUUUGUCAAUUAGUAAUGACGUGUGGAAAAAUGUACGACGUCCGUAAUGAUCUCCCUAGUUUCUAACAUUUGGAAAGAUUGCACGCUAUAUAUAUGUAUGAUAUUGUUGUCAUGGAGAUAUGACCAACGCCAUAGCUACCUGAAAUACUGUUGGCGCUGGCUCCAACGUCACCACAAUUUUUAAUUGAUGCGCCAUAUUGGUAGUAUCGGGUGUCCAUGCCAGUAAGGCCGUUUUUACCACUCCAUAGAGAAGCUUUUCUACACUAGUGUUAAUUUCAAUCCAGUUGAAAGUCACCCUUUACUCGCAAGUAGUCUCGUACUUUGUUCUUCUCCUUGUUGCAAAUCCCUUCUCGAGUCGCAAUUGGGCCUGUAGUAGGUGUUUUUGCACUUGCAAGUUCAUCCCUCGACUCGCAACUGGGCCCAUACGUGUUGUCGACUUACCGUUUUGAAGCCCAUGCCUGGGCUCGCAACAAGGCCCAUAUGUGUUGUAGUCUUCCUCUUUGCAAGCCCACCCCCUCGACUCGCAUCCCUCCCUAUAGUUUUUUCUAACCCAGUUUCAAGUCCAUCCUUCACUCACAAACCGGGCCCGUACUUUUUGCUCUUUCCAAGUUAUAAGUCCCCCUCGAGUCGCAACUAGGGCCCAUAGGGUGUAGUUGUUGUCCCACUUGCAAACCCAUCACUCGACUCGCAAUUCGGGCCCAUGGGUGUUUCCAACUAGGUUCUAAGUUCAUCCUCCUCUCGCAAUUGGGACGUAUCUUUUGUUUUUGUCCCAGUUACCAGUCCUGCUCGAAUAGCAACUCGUCUCAUAGGUAUUCUUUUCUUCCCAAUUUCAAGCCAAUCCCUUGGACUCGCAACUUGGCUCCUAGUUAUUUUCAACCGAGUUGCAAGUCCAUUUUUGACUUGCAAAUGGGCCCAUAUUUUUUAUUCUUGCACCCAUUUCAAGUCCCCCCUUGACUUGUAACUCGACCUGUACUUGCCCUUGUCCUAGUUGCAAGUCCCCCAUCGAUUCGAAAUGGGCCCGUCGUAAGUGUGGUCCGACUUGCAAUGCAUUCCUCGACUCACAACUGGCCCCAUAUGUGUUGGUCUUCCCUGUAGCAAGCCUACCUCUCGAUUUGCAACUUGCCAUGUACUUAUUUCCAAUCCCGUUGCAUGACCAUCGACUAGCAAGUCCACCGAUGUUGGUGUCGUCCUGGUUCCAAGCCCGCCCCUCAAAUCUCCUUUACGCCAUUCACUGCGGCACAAUGUCAUUGUAUCACACAACGGUAGAAGCGAGCAAAUUGCAGAUGGAUCGGCCCAAGUCGCUAUGAUCCAUUUUGCUUGUCUUGUUUUUCUUCAUGGUUUGUCCUUGUUUAUCAGCCUGGGCAUUUGGGUACCCUAACCCGCUACCCGAGCCCGAACUGAACCGAAUUACUUGACAAUUCGGGUAAUUCGGGUAUCGGGUUAGGGUUCGGUUCUCAUUUCCUGGCUAUUCGGUUUUCGGGUUGGGGUUCGGGUUCUAGUCUGAAAAACCCGAAAUACCCAUACUACUCGAAUUAUUCAUACUAGCCAAAUUAUUCAUGCUAUUAUUACACUCACAUGUUACCCAUACUAACUAAAAUAGCGAGACUAUCCAAAAUACCCACACUACCCAAAUUAUUUAUACCAAAAUUUGAUGUGUGCUCCAAAUAUUUUGGGAUCUUUGGGUACCCAAAUUAUCCGAACCAAAAUUUUGGGUAAUUUGAGUUUGGGUACUUUUUUGGCAGAAAAAUUCGGGUUCCCAUUUUGAGUACACAAAUUACCCAUAAACCGAACUAUCCGAACCGAAAUAACCAAAGUACCCGAACGCCCACGUUGACUUGUUUAUCCCUUUUUUCCUUUUUUUUCUUCGCUAGCUUUUCUUUCCUUUUUAAUUUUUUUGUUUUUUAAAAAUAUUAUUUUUUAUUUUCAUUUUAUUAUUAAUCAUUGUUUAGAAAGUGUAUAAUUUGAAAAAAAAAAUCUUUUUCAAAAAGUGCUUGGAUUUUUCAAAAGCAAAUUAAGUUCUUGUUAUUCAAAAAAUAAUUGCAGGUUUAAAAAAUGAUUGUGUUUUAAAAAAAAUACUCAAAUGCUGAAAUAUUUAUUCCAUUUUAAAAAAAUGUUCACAAAUGAUGUCCGUCUGUCAGUAACUCUUAAGCUUUACAUAUACUGGACCAAGGGUGACACCAUGUUAGAUGACCCCUAGUCACAAAAAACAAUUCAAAAACUUAAAAAUUGUUUGUAUUCUCAUAAAUAUCCCUCAUAUUUCAAAAUUCUUCAUAAUUUGCAGAAAAAUUAACUUCUUUUCAAAAAUGUCUACAAAUCUUCACGCUUUACUUUGUUCUUAAGUGUUUCCCGCUUCUAAAACAUCACAAACAUUGAUGUGUUGUAAUGGUAAGAGUUGGUGCUCAGCAGUAUGAGGUCCUAUGUUUGAUUCUUUAGGAGCGCAAUAUGUAUCUCUUUUUGUUGCACUUAAAAAGAAUCCAAAAAACAAAUAUUCCCUCGGUGCCUAAAUAUAAGUCUUUUAGGAGGUUUCAGUAAGGGGACUACAUGCGGAUGUAUAUAAACAUAUUUUAGAGUAUAGAUUCACUUAUUUUGCUUCGUAGGUAAUCUCUAGUAAAAUCUUUAAAAAGACUUAUAUUUAAAAAUGAAGGGAGUAAUAAAAGUUAGAUGUGAGGUAUUAUGUCACGUCUAGAUGAGAUGUGACAUAGUUGGAUCCUUUCCUUUUGGUGGAGUAUUUUGCCCACGGCCUGGAUGCAGGAGGCCCAACCGUGGCUUGAGAGCAGAAAUAAUAAAUCACGGCAUAAUGAGCAUUGUAGUUAGCAAGUCCUUGCCGGUGGUGGUCGUCGGCCCUUGCGCCGGCAUCGUCCAUCUCUCCUCUUUCGACAGGUGCAUGCCUCCCUUCCCAGUCACUCUGCUUCUUGUCUUCAACCAGCCAAUCGAAGACCCCGUCGAGACCAUCAAGAAGGCGCUGUCGCAGGCGCUGAUGCACUAUCCCCCGAUGGCCGGCCGCACCGGCGACGACGGGGAGGGGGAGCUCCACAUCGCUUGCACCGGCGAGGGUGUCUCUUUCGUGGGUGCGUCGGCUAGCUGUGCCCUCGACGACGAGGCCACGAGAUCGGCGCUGCUCCUCAGCGACCUCGCCGUUGGCUACCCCGCCGAAUACUGCCGCCUCAGCGACCCCUUCCUGCUUAUGCAGGUGACCGAGUUCUCCCGCGGCGGGUUCAUCGUCGGCGUGACGUGGAACCACGUCAUGGCCGACGCGGCGGGGAUGGCGCAGUUCCUGCGGGCCGUUGGCGAGCUCGCCCGGGGGAUGCCGGCGCCGGCCGUCGCUCCGGUCAGGUCUGAAAUCGACGGCUCGGUGCCACGACUCCCGCCGCUGAUGGUCGCCGCUGUGAGGUCCCAGAUGCGCAUGGAAACGGAGGAACUCGCGAGCCUCGACGUCACCAUCCCCUCGAGCUUGAUCGGCCGCAUCAAAGAAGAGUGCGCCGGCGACUGCACGGUGUUCGAAGCCGUCGCAGCCGUGCUCUGGCGGUGCCGCACCCGCACGGUCAUCUCCGAUGCUGACACCGACGACCCUGUGGCCUUCGCCUUCCCGAGCAACGUGCGCGGCCUCGUCGGCGCCAAGGAAGGCUACUACGGCAAUUGCGUCGCCAUGCUGCAGGUCCAAGCCAGUAGCGCCGCGGUGGCGAGCGGCGACAUGAAGGACCUGGUGAAGCUCAUCAAGCUUGCAAAGGAGAAGGUAUCAGACAUAUUCGUGAAUGCCGGCGACGAGACCAGCGACGGUGCCAGUAGAGAUGAGCAGCAGCGGGCACACCCGCGCUCAAGGUACAACACGCUGAGUGUCACGAGCUGGAGGAACCUUGGGUUCGAAGCCGUGGAUUUCGGGCCUGGGAGGCCGGCGCGCGUGAUGUGGAAGCCACACCGGACGAUUGGGUUCGUCUGCGUUGUGUGCCCGCCGUGCAAUGCAAGGGGGGAGGACGGCGUCAACGUCGCGUCCUUUUGCGUCAAGCCGGAGCACGCCGGCGCGUUUGUAGCGGAGUUGGCGGCCCUCAACAUAUAAAUGCGAAUUCGUAGUAUCAUGUACUAGUAUCAUAUAAUCCCUCCGUUCCUAAAUAUAAGUCUUUUAAUCAAUUUCACUAAGAGACUACAUACAGAGCAAAAUGAAUAAAUCUACAAUCUAAAGUAUGUCUAUAUACAUCCGUAUAUAGUCCUUUAGUGGAAUAUCUAAAAAGACUUAUAUUAUGGAACGGAGGGAGUAUAUGAUAGUAGUGUAUGAUACCACAUCCGUAAUGCAUAGUAUCAUACGUUACUAUCAUAGAAUAGUUCAUUUAUUGUAAUGCAAGACACAUACAGUAGACCAAGCAGCUAGCUUGGUAAGCUACCAGCAAAAACUUGCAAUCAAUCAAAAAAAAAGACACAUACAGUAGUAGCACAUCAUUUAAUAUGAUACGAUAUCAUGGUAUGGUACUCAACCCUUUCUUUUUUCAUUUAAUUCUAUGUCACCUCAUCGAAAUUGCCUAGUUGGCAUGCAUGUACUACCUAUGAUACUACCAUUACGGGCAGCUUAAUACUUCAUUUUCAAUCAGAGUGUAAACCUAAAAUGGACGAAUUAAUUAGUCUCGCACUUUUUUUCAUACUACUCCAUCUGUCCCGGUGUAUAAGUCAUCUUACGAAACCAAAUAAUUUCAAAAUACUUAACCGCGGUAUUUUUUUUUAAUUUUUUGACAUGAAUAAAGGAAUCACCAAUAAAAGGCGGGAGACAUGUAUGUUUUUAAUGAUGUGAGACUAACUAGCACGACAUGCGGUGAUCAAUUCAUUGCAUGUAAUUGUAUUAAUUAGAAAACUAGCAUUGAUUUUUCUCGUUUUCCUUUUCGUCUUUGUCACGGUACAUAACCUAAGAUGACUUAUACACCGAAACGACGGGAGGAACAAACAUGCAUGCCCACACCACGUCUCUCUUCUCGUACUUGUAUGCCGUGCCCUUUUGCAUAAAGUCCGAGCAAUUCGACGCUUUGUUAGUGGAGUUGACUGCCCCCAAAAUAUAAUGCCAACUACAUCUUUGAUGGUGCAUGUUGCAAGAACCGCCUAUUUUUAUGAAAUAAUAAAUAGUUUUUAUUUAUAUAUUUGUCCAUAAAUAAAGUUUUAAAAGAUGGAUAUAAAUUUAUUCUUAAAGUUUAGAUGAUGCAAAUAGUUGAAAAGUAUUUGCCCUACUCAUACUAAGUAACAUAAUACAAAUAACAUUAGGAAUCAGUUCUUUGAGCUUGUGUUGGACCCUGAAUUUUAUGAAACAUACUUACAUUAAUAAAAUGGUUGCAUGCAUCGUCAUGAUACAGAGACCGGGGACGAUCCUUGUUUUAUUUUUGAAAAGGCUUGCAUGGCAAGUACAAUAAAGCCCAAUCAACCACAUGUCUUCAAAACUGCCACAAGAAUAGUGGCCCAAUAGGACAAACAUGCCAGAUCACGGUAAACUGAAGCUGGAACAGAGAUCUAAAGGCUAGAAAUGAUCUAAACGUGAAAUACAACGACCGAAAUUUGUUGGGCGCUCAGUUUAGAUGCACUUUUAUUGUCCUCAAUUCAUAGUGCAUUUACAAUUCCCAAAAUAAUUUCUUCAAAUUUUGGGGUGAACCUAAAAUGGACCAAUCAAACGAUCCCAAACGGUUUUCUCAUAUAUGGUUACCUUUGCUUAUUGAUUUUUUUAGUACGGUUCAUAAGUUUUUCUUGAAUGAUUUUAAGAUUGAUACGCCUCUGCGACGAGGACCCCGACGCCUCUGCGCCCCUCGCGUUCACGAGCAACGUGUGUGGUCUCAUCGGCGCCAAGGAAGGCUACUACGGCAACUGUGUCAUCGUCCAGGUGAUACAAACAACAAGCGGUACAGUGGCGAGCGGAAAAAUCAAAGACCUCGUGGAGCUCAUCGGGCUUGCCAAGGAGAAGGUAUCAAACAUAUUCGUGAAUGGUGGCGAUGAGACCGGUGCCGGUGGUGGAGAUCAACAUCAGCUGGCAGCCGCGAGGUACAACACUCUUUGUAUCUCGAGCUGGAGGAACGUUGGGUUUGAAGCUGCGGAUUUCGAGGGUCGGCUGCGCCUCUAGCCACACAAUAUACAGCUCUUUUUAAUAUUGUACAAAGUAAGGAUUCUUAUGUUGCUACAAUUAUGCAACCAGUUCCUCUCAAUAUUCAGUUUAGGAGAUCUCUAGUAGGGGAAUGAUGCAAUGCAUGGCUCCAUCUAGUUCGCAGAUUGAUGGAAAUUCACUUGUCGGAAGAACCUGACACGAUUCAUUGAAGAUUAACUAUAAGCGGUAGUUUUUCAGUGAAAUCAAUGUAUCUGGAUAUUAUCAAUGCCGUAAUAAUACCCACUUGUCCACACAUUUUGAAAAUUAAAGUAUCUCUGAAGAUUAAGAUUUUCACGUGGUUUGUUCAUAAAGGACUUAUACUUACAAAAGAUAAUUUGGUUAAACGAAAAUUGGUAGAGGUAAUUCUAGAUGCUGCUUUUGUGAUCACAACGAGACUACUAAACACCUCUUUCUCGAGUGCCCUUUGACAAGACUUUUUAUGGUGUAGAUACGUCUCCAGCGUAGCUAUAAUUUAUAAAGUAAUCAUGCCAUGUUUAUCAUAAUUCUAUAUGAUUUUGGUAUGGUUUGAUUAGAACUAACCCGGACUGACGUUGUUUUCAGCAGAACUAUUGUGGUGUUGUUUUUUGUGCAGAAAUAAAAGUUCUUCAAAUGCAACAAAACUUUUAGACAAUUUUUUAUAUAAGGAAAUAGCCCGAGGAAGCUUCGAGGAAGAACCAGAAGAUGCUCAGGGUGCCCACACAACACCAUCGCACGCCCCCUGGGCGCGCCCUGAUGUUGUGUGGCCCCCCUGAGGCCCAUCUCCGCGUGAUUCCGACACUGAAAAAUCAUAUAUAUCAAGAAACCUCCGAAAGUUAACUAAGAACUUGGACUCCGCCGCCGCACGCCACUGUAUCCUCCAAAAAGCAAUCUGGACCCUCUUCCGGCACCCUGUCGGAGGGGGAAAUCAUCACCGGAGGCCAUCUUCAUCAUCCCGACAGCCACCAUGACAUGGAGGGAGUAGUCCACCCUCGAGGGUAGGGGUAUGUACUAGUAGCUAUGUUUUUGAUAUCUCUCUCCUGUGAUAAUGAGAUGUCACGAUCUUGAUGUAUCAUGGGCAUUGUUGAUAUAGAUGGAUCAUAUGAUGUUUCUCUCCUCUCCAUCCUUGGUGUGAUGAAUUGAAUCUUUUCCCUUUGAAGUUUUGUUAUUGUCAGAUUGAAUAUUCAGAUUUGGGAACACAUGAUGUAUGUCUUGCAUAAUCAAUAUUCGAGGUGACAAUGGGGUAUCAUAUUGAUUCACUUGAUGUAUGUUGUGGCACUCAACUUGCUGAUUCCUGUACUGACAUUGGGGUAAUCUAUGCAUAUGGGUUGAUGCACGUUUUCAUUAUCUUUUCUCUGAUAGAAACUUUGGGGAGUCCUUGUAGUUCUUUGUGUGGAUUGAAUAUUAUGAUUAUGAAGUUGUUUGAUGCAUAACGUAGAAUCAACUCACGAAUACUUGUGGUGACAUUGGAGUAUCUAGGUGACAUUAGAGUUGGUUGAUGUUGGGGAUAUAACCCCACGGUAUAAACCGUCCUAUUGGUCUGGGUUACUGAAGAUGGUGACUCAACGUUCAUAGUCAGGGCGGCCCCUGAUGUGCAAGAUUGGAGGCGCAAGGCGGGUCACCAAGAUGAGACCGUUGGCGGCCCAGGACACGAAGAUGGCGAUUUAAGGCCCAAAAGGAAGAAGGUCGCCAGGAGUUUCCUUGCUUAGGAGCAAGGCGAGUUAGAGACAUAUCGGGUCACAAAUCAUAACGUGACCCGGGUUCUUGUAAGCUUAGGGUCUCGACCUGUAUAUAAAGGCGAGUCCCCAAGGACAAUAGACUUAAGUUACAAUCCAUCGAGAGCCAAAUCAAGCGAAUUCGCACCCUUGUAAUCAAUUUCAUCAUCAAUAUACACAAAGCAGGACGUAGGACUUUACCUCCAUCGGAGGGGCCGAACCUGGGUAAACUCGUCUCUCGUUCCCGAUCAACCCCUUUGAGUCGCCGCAUAGUUGCGAUGGCCUCAUCACUAAGUCCUUUCACGAGAAAAUAUGUCGUGACAAAACCAUGACAGUUGGCGCCCACCAUGGGGAAGUCGCACGAUGGAGUUGAGUUCUCAAAGGGAGCCCUUCUAGGGUUCUGGAGCUACGCAGUUGGUCUUGUUGGAAAUAUUCCGUAGAGGCAAUAAUGAAAUAGUUAUUAUUAUAUUUCCUAUUUCAAGAUAAUCGUUUAUUAUCCAUGCUAUAAUUGUAUUGAAUGGAAACACAAGUGCGUGUGUGGAUACAUAGACAAAACAAUGUCCCUAGUGAGUCUCUAGUUGACUAGCUCGUUGAUCAAACAUGGUUAAGGUUUCCUAGCCAUGGACAAGUAUUGCCAGUUGAUGACGGGAUCACAUCAUUAGGAGAAUUAUAUGAUGUACAAGACCCAAACUAUAACCGUAGCAUGUGAUCGUGUCAUUUUGUUGCUAUUGUUUUUCUGCAUGUCAAGUAUAUGUUCCUAUGACCAUGAGAUCAUCUAACCCACUGACACCGGAGGAAUUCCUUGUAUGUAUCAAACAUCGCAACGUAACUGGGUGAUUAUACAGGUGUUCUACAGGUAUCUCCGAUCGUGUCCGUUGAGUUAGUAUGGAUCGAGACUGGGAUUUGUCACUCCGUAUGACGGAUAGGUAUCUCGGGGCCCACUGGGUAAUAGAACAUCACAAACAUGCCUUGCAAGCAAUGUGACUAAAGAGUUAUCCACGGGAUCUUGUAUUACAUAACGAGUAAAGAGGCUUACCGGUAACGAGAUUGAAAUAGGUAUGGAGAUACCGACGAUCGAAUCUCGGGCAAGUAACAUACCGAAGGACAAAGGGAAUGAUACACGCGAUUAACUGGAUCCUUGACAUAGAGGUUCAACCGAUAAGAUCUUCAUAGAAUAUGUAGUAUCCAAUAUGGGCAUCCAGGUCCCGCUAUGGUAUAUUGAACAGAGAGUGUCUCGGUCAUGUCUACAUAGUUCUCGAACCCGCAGGGUCUGCACACUUAAGGUCCGGUGACGUUUUGGUAUAGUUGAAUUAUUGAUAUUGGUAACCGAAUGUUGUUCGGAGUCCCAGAUGAGAUCCCGGACGUCGCGAAGGUUUUCCGAAUGGUCCGGAGAGGAAGAUUAAUAUAUAGAAAGUAUCCAUUUGGCUUCCGGAAGGUUUCCGGGCAUUACCGGUAAAGUACCGGGAGAGACGAAUAGGUUCCGUAGUUCCACCGGGAGGGGCCACUCACCCGGGAGAGAACCAAAGAGGCCCAGGGUGGCACACCAUCCCCUGGUGGGCUGGUGGCCAGCCCAAGUGGGCCUGGUUCAGACGAAGGAGGAGAAAGGAAAGGAGAGGUGGGGCAAACCGAAAUAGGAAGGGACUCCUCCUCCCAAUCGGAUUGGAGGGUGACUCCUCUUCCUUCCAUGGCGCGCCAGCCAACCCUAGGGAUUUUUCCCUAGGGCGCCACCCCUCCCUCUCUCCUAUAUAUAGUGGAGGUGAGAGAAGCUUUUGGCACCCAAGCCAUAGUACAACCCUCUCUCCCUCCACCACUUCGUGACACCCCGUAGCUAGUUCGGUACGGCACGGCGAAGCCCUGCCAGAGUAACUCCACCACCAUCACCGCCACGUCGUUGUGCUGCUGGAGAGUUCAGCUACCUCUUUGCCUCUCUUGCUGGAUCCACAAGGCAGAGAUCGUCAUCGAGAUGUACGUGUGCUGAAUACAGAGGUGUCGUCCGUUCGGUACUAGAUCGGGACGGACUUCGUGGGACGCUUGCGAUUCGGAUUGCGAAGACGUUCGACUACAUCAACCGCAUUUAUUAACGCUUCCCGCUUAGCGAUCUACAAGGGUAUGUGGAUCCGAUCUCCCCUCUCGUAGAUUAUCAUCACCAUGAUAGGUUUUGCGUGUGCAUACGAAAUUUUUUGUUUCCCAUGCGACGUUCCCCAUCAGUGGUAUAAAAGCUAGGUUCAUGCGUAGAUGAUAUCUUGAGUAGAACACAAAAGAGUUUGUGGGUGUUAAUGUUCAAUUUUCUGCCCUCCUUAGUCUUUUCUUGAUUUAGCGGUAUUGUUGGAUUGAAGCGGCCCGGACCAACAUUCCUCAUGCGCGUACGAGAGACCGGUUUCAUCGACUAACAUUCAACUUGUUGCAUAAAAAUGACUGGCGGGUGUUUGUUUCUUCAACUUUAGUUGAAUCGGAUUUGACCGAGGUGGUCCUUGGAGAAGGUUAAAUAGCAAUUUGCACACCAUCGUUGUGGCUUUGCAUAAGUAAGAUGCGAUCAUACUAGAUACCCAUAGCAGUCAUGUAAAUUUUGCAACAACAAAUUAGAGGACGUCUAACUUAUUUUUGCAGGGUAUGCAUGUGAUGUGAUAUGUCCAAUGACAUGACAUGAUAUAUUGGAUGUAUGAGAUGAUCAUGUUGUAAUAAUUAAAUAUCGACUUGCACAUCGAUGCUACGGCAACCGACACGAGCCAUAGGGUUGUAUUUAAUUAUUUUGUGCUUGGUGAUGCUUUUCUUUAUCGCUAGUAGUAGCUUUAGUAGUAACAUCAUAGUUAGCGCGACAACCUCGAUGGAAGCAUGAUUAUGGAGAUGAUGGUGUGGCGACGGUGACGAUGGAGGUCAUGCCGGUGCUUUGGUGAUGGAGAUCAAGAAGCACAAGUUCAUGGCCAUAUCAUGUCACUUAUGAUUUGCAUGUGAUGUUAAUCCUUCUAUGCACCUUAUUUUGCUUAGGACGACGGUAGCAUUAUAAGGUGAUCCUUCACUAAAAUUUCAAGAUAAAAUUGUUUUCUCCCCGACUGUGCACCGUUGCGAUAGUUCGUCGUUUCGAGACACAAAGUGAUGAUCGGGUGUGAUAGACUCUACGUUCACAUACAACGGGUGCAAAACAGUUGUACCACGCGGAACACUCGGGAUAAACUUGAGGAGCCUAGCAUGUACAGACAUGGCCUCGGAACACAAGAGACCGAAAGGCCGAACAUGAAUCAUAUAGUUGAUAUGAUCAACAUGGAGAUGUUCACCAUUGAAACUAAACUCAACUCACGUGAUGAUCGGACUUGAGUUAGUGAAUUUGGAUAAUGCGACACUCGAAUGACUAGAGGGAUGUCAAUUUGAGUGGGAGUUUAUUAGUAAUAUGAUUAGCUAAACUCAAUUAUCUUAAACAUAGUCUAAGUAAUCUUUGCAAAAAUUUAUGUUGUAGAUCAAUGGCUCGCGCAGUAGAAACCCUUAAUUUUAAUGCGUUCCUAGAGGAAGCUAAGCUGAAAGAUGAUGGAAGAAACACUGUUGACUAUGCCCGUAAUCUGAGGCUUAUCCUCACGGCUGCCCAAAAGCAAUAUGUCAUUGAUGCAGCACUAGGUGAUGCUCAAAGAGAGAUAAAUUGCCAUCCAGGUACUGGCUAUGGACCCGUAGGUCUGUGGUGAUCCACUUACAUAUCAUCAUGAGGGCAUCAAGGUUGAUGAAGAAGCCCUCGGUGAUCGAUCCGACCUCUGGCAGAGUGCCGAGACAGAGCUCUAGAUGGACCCCCGUCAGAACAGAGACUUGUGGCAGCGUAAAAAGUGUUUCCGGACCUCCGUCGAUGUUUUAGGAUAGAUGAGAAUUUAUAGACUAGAGAACAGAGUCGGGAGAGCCGCGAGGGGGCCACAAGCCAUUAGGGCGCCCCCUGACCGCGCCCUGUUGGCUUGUGGGGCCCUCGUGCACCCUCGUGCCUCCUUUCGAUGCUCCACGGUCUUGUUUUAGUCCAGAAAAAAAUCACAAAAAGUUUUAGGUCAAUUGCACUUCACUUGGUACUAAACCGUAAAAAGUGGAAAACACGCAGAAAACAACAACUAGCACUUGGCACUGGGUCAAUAGGUUAGUGCUCAAAGAUAAUAUAAAUUGGUAGAUAAUUAGUUCAUAAAAAAUGUUCUAAAAUGAUAACAUAAUAGCAUGGAACAAUCAAACAUUAUAGAUACGCUGGAGACAUAUCAUUGUACCGCUCGCUAGGGUUUUCUGCAUGGUACUUGUGUGCACUGAUUGUACCGGUGCACGAAGAGGUUGUACUGCUGUAGUGUAAAAACCGUUGUAACAGUUGAAUUUGGGGGCACUAUAAAAGGGGAUGGUUCUUCCACCGACCUUCUUACCUCUUACCUCUCUCUUUCUCUCUCUUUCCUUCAUUAAUGCCCUCCAAGCUUUCUUGCUCGAUCUCUCUUCCACUCAUUAAUGCUAGCAUCAUCGUACAUUUGGAGUCGACACACUUUGCUAGAGGCCGCUACCGGCUAGCCGAGCUGGAUGUGAUCUGACUUGCAACCAAGUGAACGAGAACCUAAGGGGUCGUGCUCUUAAGAGAAGGAUUCUACGAGGUCAUAUACGAGGACACUGGUCGGAUGUGAUCUGAGCUGGACUUAGAUCAUGACCAAGUAGACUUUAGGCUUUAGGAUCCAUGUGAGGCCCAAAAUUGAGACCGCGACGGAUGCCUAUAUAUAAUGGGGGUACCACACACAUAUUCGGUCGAUUGCUUCAGCAUCGUCAUUAGGGCGUUGCAUGUGUUAGAACCACCCACCUCCACUCGCCGCCGGUUGUGUGAUCGGACCUAGCAGUCCGCCACAUGACGUUCCUCCUGCACGUGCGAAUACCGUUAGAGGUGGUGCAGUUGCGCAGCUCCAACGAAGUUGUCCACGGGAUUCAGCGGACGACUGUUUGAGAGACCGGACGAGGAGGGGGCAACUCCUGGGACGCGCUAGCACCACUAUUCGUCCACUACAUUGCGCUCUAGUGGUAACAAUCUGUGAUUCCUCUCCUUAGCAUGUUCCCGGUUAUACAGUGCAUAGGAAUUUUUUUUAUAUUCCAGCCGAUGCACCUAGCGUAGCCCAACACUAUCCCUCCGUCCCUCCCUUCCUUCCUCUCUCUCUCUCUCUCCCUCUCUCUCUCUCAAACACUUAAUACAUGCAUACUUACAUUAGUUUGAUCAUGUUCAUGUGAUUUAAGGUUAAUUGAAUUUGUGGCACUAUCAUAUGAACAAUGAUGGUGCCAAAUCCAUGGCCUAAAUAAGUUGCAUCCAAAUGUACACGGAAAAUAGUUAGAUAAAAAGUAUGAACACAUCGUAGAACAUAUUACAUCGAGAAUCGAUUAUGGUUCUAUACAUAAAAGAACAAAAAUCUCGUGGUGCAAACUAAACAUACGUUUAUAUUAAUUAAAUGUAUGCACAUUUCGUUCCUGCAAAAGAAAUUUGUCCUAUUCGGAAGAAAAGAAAACAAGUUUUGAAAAAUCAUGUAGCAAUUACUAGAAAGAUUACCAGAGUUGAGAUACACAACUAUGGACGUAGCCAUUUGAGAUUAUCCUGUCACUGUCCACGGACCCGCCCGCAGAUGUAUAUAUGUAGUGCUCCAUUUGGCAAUUGGAGUUGCAGAUGCUCUAACUUCCUUCUUUUUUGUGAACCAUGUGAUGAACAAGCUCUCUCGAAACAGGCUUUCGCCCCGCUUUAUAGAUAAAGCACAACGGCCAGAAUCCAACCCACAUGUUCGAACACAAAAAAUAAAAAAGAGAGUCAGGUGGGGCAACAACACAGUCCAGCCCAAAAUAAAGAGAAGAAACAAAAAAUUCCCACACAGGGGCAAGCUAGGCAGCAAGCAAGGGAGAGGAGAGCCGUCGGGCGGCCGCCAUCAACGCGUCCAGGUAGAGCUGAAGUCGGCCUCGAUCCCGGGUCCUAACGAGCGGAUGCCAAUGCUGCAAGAAGGCAAGGAAUUUGAAGAACGAGUCAGAAGCACGCCGCGGAAACACCUUCUCAAUCAUCAUUUUAUUGUGAGUAGUCUAGAGGGUCCACAUCAUAGCCGCGAAGACCAACCAAAACAGUCGGCGUUUAUGACCGACCUGGGUGGCCCGCACCUGUAGAAAAUCUGCAAGGUCAGAGGCCUCCCACUCUGGUCCCAGAGCCUCGCGUACAAAGCAUCAUAGUGCAUGUGCCGCAACGCAUGAGAACAGAAUGUGAGAGCCAUUCUCCGGGACAUGGCACAGGGGACAUAUGCCGUUACCCGGACCAUGGCGUUUCAGCACCUCGGUCCCUGAAGGUAAACGGUCUCGGAGAAGCUGCCAAACAAAAAUCUUGAUCUUCAAGGGCAGCGGGGCCUUCUAGAGUGGGGAUAACCACGGGAGGACCAGCAUUCUGCACAGGGCCAGGUAUGCCGAACUAACAGAGAAUUCUCCCGAGGGAGAGAGGCUCCAAGAGAUACUAUCACUGACCGCCGAGGUCGAGAGGGGAAUCACUGCCAAGAGUAACUCCCAGUCCAGGACCUCAACAGGGCCAAGGGGUCGGCAGAAUGCAACAUGCCAUCCGUCUUCCAGAGCAGCAGCAGAAACCAGGACAGCAGGGUCGGCGCAGAUAGCAAAGAGCCUCGGGAAACGGAAUCGUAAAAGCUCUCCUUCCAACCAGGGAUCUAACCAAAACUGGGUCCCAGAUCCAUCGCCCACCGAGAUCCCCAAACUCAACCUAAUCUCGUGCUUAAUGCUCUGGAUAGACUUCCAGAACUGCGAACCAUUCGCGAGAGAGCAUGCCAAGAGUGGUCUGCCUCGAAGGUAUUUGGCCUUAAUCAAUUGAAGCCACAGACCCCCAUCUCCGUGCAGAAUCCGCCAAACCCAACGGAGCAUCAGGGCCACGUUCAUGAGGCGGGACGCAGGAAUGCCUAGGCCCCCUCAGUCUUUUGGCAAGCAGAUGUCUGCCCAUUUCACCAUGUGAUACUUGGGCCUACCAUUCCCUGCCUGCCAAAAGAAUCUAGCCAGUUCCUUGUCAAAGGCGUUGUGCACACCUUCGGGCAGGAUAUACAACCCCAUCAUAUACAUGGGGAGGCUAGCGAGGUUAGAGCUAAUGAGGAUGGAUUUGCUGCCUUUAGAAGUGAACCUGCCGCACCAGGGUUCCACACGGGAUGCUACUCAUCCCACAAGCGGAUCGAACCCGCUAACCAGAAUCCUGGACUCCGCCAGGGGCAUUCCCAAGUACGAGAUAGGGAAAGAAGCCAGCUUGAAGUUAAGGUUGUCUGAAUCCUGUGAUGCUCAGCCUCAGAGUAGCCGAGGACCACCACCUCACUCUUAUCAAAGUUAAUCUUAAGUCCAGACAUUUCCUCGAAGCAGAGCAAAAGGAACUUAAGAUUGGCAAUGUCCGAGUCCGAGCCUGAGACCAUGAUCAUGGUGUCGUCUGCAUAUUGGAGGUGUGACACCCCACCCCCCGGGAUGAGGUGACCAACCACCCCCUGGAUAUGCCCGGCUAAUCUCGCCUUAUCCAGGAUGCCGGCAAGGGUGUCCACGGCGAGAUUAAACAGCAGGGGGGAGAUAGGGUCCCCUUGCUUUACCCCCCUGGAAGCCCAAAAAAAGGGGCCUAGUUCACCAUUGAUAUUGAUGGCGGUGCUACCAGAUCGAACCAGCUGCAUAAUCCAGGUGCACCACCUCUCGUCAAAUCCGCGCCGCUGCAACACUAACCUCAAGAAGGACCAACCAAGACGGUCAUACGCCUUAUGGAAGUCCAAUUUGAGAAUGACCCCCUUCAAUCCCUUGGACGCCACCUCAUGGACAAUCUCGUGAAGGGCAAGAAUUCCGUCAUGAAUCUUCCUACCCUUCAGGAAUGCGGACUGAAGGGGGUGCGCAAUCCGUUCGGCCACAGGGGACAGACGAGUGGCGCAGACUUUAGCAAAAAUACGCGCCACCAUGUUAAUCACCGUAAUAGGCCUAAAUUGCCGAAUCUCUGCAGCCCCAAGUAGUUUGGGGAUGAGGGCAAUGACUCCAUAGUUAAUCCUGCCCAUGUCCAGAGUGCCUAUAUAGAAUUCAUGGAACAUGGGCAUGAUAACUGGGUGCACGGUCUCCCAGAAUUGCUGGAAAAAACCACCGGGAGGCCGUCUGGCCCCGGGGUCGAGCACACCUUCAUAGAAGCGAUUGUCUGGCCAACUUCCUCCGAGGAAAAUGGGAGAGUGAGUUCCGCAUUCUCCACGUCGGACACCUGAUCAGCUAGCGGCCAGAAGUCCUCACAGAGAGAGGAGCCUCCCCGCAGAUCGGCCGAGAAUAACUCCUUAUAGAAGGAGUAAAUAUGGGAUGAGAUGUCUUCCGGCUUUCCAGAACAGCAUCCCCAUCCCGGAGGAAAGGGAUGACACAUUUCCGCCUUCGGCCGUUGGCGAUGGCCUGAAAGUACGCGGUGUUUGCGUCCCCCUUGAGGAGCCAGUUCUGGCCACCUCGACGUUGCCAGAACAGUUCCUCGGAGCUGAAGAUGCCCAUGAGCUCAGCGUCGAGGGAUUAUGUCUGGAUCCAGUCAUCCGGGGACAGACCUGUACCGUCCGCCAAGUCAUCUAGGGUCUUAAUCUGGCCUAGCAAGGCCCCUUUACGGGCCCGGAGAUCAGCGCCCAAGUUAGCACCCCAGCCCUUCAUGGCCUGGCGCGCCAUCUUGGCACAGUGAUGCCAAAUGUCCACCGCACAAUAGACACGCGGCGGGGAGGCGGCAGCCCAAUGCCACUGGUCGCGGACCAACUCGCGGAAACCAGGCUGAUCCAACCAAAAAGUCUCAAAGCGAAAGCGCCGUGAUCUAGGGGGGAGCCUUCCCCCGACGAGAAGAGCAGGGGCGUAUGGUCUGAGCCAAUCUGCGUGAUGGCCCUAAGCCCGCACAGGAGGAACAUCACUUCCCACUGAGGCGACACAAAGACCCGGUCUAGAACACUCCGGACGGGGUCCGCCUGCUUGUUCCACCACGUGAACCUGGCCCCUACGCGAGCUAUCUCACGUAGCGCCAAGUCUGCAAUGCAGUCAUUAAAAAGACGCAUCUGGGGUCGAUCUACAUUCUGAGAGCUUUUAUCAGAAGCCCACCUAAUAAAUUAAAAAUCACCAGCCACCACUACAGGGGUGGUGCACCUAUCCACCUUAUUCUUUAGCUCGGCGAGGAAUUCUGCGGAGCGGGCAUGGUCUGCCGGACCAUAGACAAUAAUCACCUCCCAGCUGAGGUGGGUACGUCGGUCGGUGAUGGCCAUGCUCACAAUGAACUCCCCCCGGUCCAUGUCCUCCACCGAGAACGCCUCCUCCCGAACACCAAGCAGGAUUCCCCCAGAGUGGCCCGAUGCAGGGAGCCACUGCCAGGAGAACUGGUGGCGGGAGAGCCUCUGAAGCUCGAGCAUGCUAAAGUCCUACCGAAUCGUUUCUUGCAGCCCUACUAUGUCAAUCUCUUCUUGACGCAAAUACUCAACAAGUUGCCGCCGCCGGCCAGGGAGGCCGAAGCCCCUAAUGUUCCAACAUAGGAGCUUCAUUUAACAAUCUCGCCUGGAUUUCUAGGCCCCGCAAGCGGGGCCGAACUAGCCCGCCCGUCAACCUCGAGGCGGGGGAGCGCCUUAGAUGGACGACCCCGGUGUCCCCGAGAAGAGGGGACAUCGGAGGUCGCCGGGCCAGAGGAGGGAGCUCCGGGGCCUGACACUCGCUCCUCUCCACGUGUCUCAGUGGGGUUGAGACGGGUAGGCGGCCGCCCCCUGGGCUUCCGGACAGAGGGAAGCCCACCUAUGGGCGGCACAGGACCAACUGCAACCGCUGCCGGAGGUGCGCCACCAGCCCUGGUCUCUCUAUGACCAGGACCGGCGUGCACCGGGGGAGAGGGGGAGUUGGAGCGCGCGGCGAGACAGCGCGCUUCCGCUAACACCCCCUCAAGCCUCUCUUUCGCACAGAGGGCGGAGAUAUGCUCAAGAGGGGGACCUUUCUCCCCCCGAAACACAAUACUACUGUUCGCAGCCACAACAGCCAAAAGGGGCACCAAAUCGCUAGAGAGAACAGAAAACCAAGAACCAGAGCCAGAAGGGGGAGGAGAGGAGGCGUACCUGGGAACAGAUCGCGGGCCGCAGCACGCCGGGCCGCCAGCUCAGGCAUCGUCGGGACGCGGCCGUCCUGAAGGGUCCGGGACUGGCUGAUCCGAGCGCUCUGACGUGCCGACACGAUGGGGGAAGUGCCCUCCCGAGGCCGAGAGCGGGGCACAGGAGGGUACUCGGGCGCCCAACCAGGGUUGACGACCACCGGAGGGCGCGAAUCCGGGGACCCCAAGGUUGGGGAAGGGGGGAACUCGGAGAGCACGAGUAGCAAACCACCCCUGGCGAGCGCGGGGACGAAGCAGGGCAGACCUCCAUACCCACACUCACCUCCUCCUCAGCAGCGACCACCGGGAUAGGGGAAGCAGGGAGAGUGAUCUCCAUGCCUACCACCACCACCGGCGCCAAAGUACCCACCGUGGAGCCUCCUGCGAGCCCCGACUGGCCAACACCCGAGGGGGCGGGGGUGCGCCGACCGCCAGAUGGCUCGGGCGGAGCCCCGACCGUAUCAUCGUCCCCCUCAGAAGAAGGCCCCUCCUCCGACGAGCCCCCCUCCUUGUCAAGACCCCCGUCGGCAGGCUCCAGCCCAGGCGGGACCGGAUCUAGCUGAGCCGCUGAAGCCGGGGACUCGAGCUCGAAGGUCAGACGCCUGCCCUUGGACCCAAAGUAGAAGACCAAAGACAACCCGUCAAUCUCAGCAGGAGCCGGGCAGAGAAUCUCAAUGCGGGCAGGGCCAUCAUCCUCGAAAGAUGCCAGGUCGGCGGUGAUCAGUUUGCCCAUGGGUUUAGAGAUGGCUUUCAGAAUAUGACUGAGCUUGCCACCCCGCGGAGCCGCACUGCCCCCCCUUGGGAGGCCAUAGACGAGGACCCAAACCUUCUCCAAGGGAGGGACGGGGUCAGGCUCUGACAUGGCCGCCUGGACGCUGAUCGGGAGCUGGUUGAGGGGACACCGGAUAGGACCAUGCGAGCAGACCCGGAGUAGCUCGGCCGAGGGGAAGGGGACCGAGAAGACCAGGGGAGCCGUCUCAGUCACCUCCCAUGCGAACUCAGAGCCGCGAAAGUCGCCAAUGUAGGCCGCAAGCUCAUCCUGGAUGAGGUCAGACGAGAUCACCAGGCCAUCCGGGAUAGGCUGCUCGGGCUCCAAGGUGACCGUCGCUAGGUGAGGACGAGCAGCUACCUCCUCAAUCUCCGCAUCCACGAAGUAGAAGCUUCCCCGCUCAGUGCCAUACCCAAGAUAGGCAAGAAUCGUGGGGCACCGUGGGGGAGCCUCACACUCCGAGCGGUAGUGCCCGGUGCACCCGCAGUUGAUGCACAUCGUGUCCUCGCGGGAGCGCUGGCGGGUAGCACGAGCAGGGGGUCUAGAGCCUCAUGCUCAGGAGCCCCCUGAGCUCCUGGCGACGUCAGGCCGCCAGCACCGCCAACAGCCUUCUUCUUCUUCGACUUCAUCUUCUUCUUAACCGGGGUCGGGCGGGAAGCGGAGCAGCAGGCAGGGCAUCUGGGGACACGUGCCUAGAAGGCCCGUCGUCCCGGCACCAGUCCGCACCCGUCGCCCGAGAGGAGCGCCAGUCAGCCCGACGUCCAUCAUCACCGCGCCGCAUUGGCGGCCCGCCCCACCGCUCCCCCGGGCGGUGGUCCUGGCGAUCACGGGGCGGCCCGCCCCACCGCUCCCCAGGAAGGCGCCGCGGGGCGGUGAGCGAGGUCCCGAGCCGGGGGGUAGCGGGGCGCUGGCUCCUCACACGGCUGAGAUGCCGGAGUGGGGCGAGCAACCAACUCUGCACACAGAGUCGCUUCCCGGUCCAGGUCGGCCGCGCGGGCGGCCUCCAGGCGGCGACGGUCCCCCGGCGAACCCGGCAACGGCAGGCGGGGAUCCCUCUCCGGAUCACGAGGGGGAGGCGGACGGCGAAGGGAGGUCCCGGAGUAGUACUCCGGGGACUUCCCCGGCCGGGCAGACCCACCGCGCCCGGAACGGGACGAGGCAGCACCCCCUUCCAUGGCACGGUCACGGGCGGCGGGCAGCGCCUUCAACACCGCGCGAGCCUGGUCACGAGAGGUUGGCGUAGGGAGGAGCCCCUGCCCAGCCGGGAGAGGCCGCUUCGGUCGGGCCUGGCCGUUCCCGGCGUGGCGUGUCAUGAGCACGUCCCGGUAGGAGCGCCGUGGGGAGGGGAUGGGGAGCAGGUCCGGGCGCCGGGCAGCAGACGAGGGCGCGUCGCCGGCAGUGCAGGCGAGGACGGACGAGGUGGAGGGAGCUCUAUGGCUGACGGGACGGGGCGAGCGGGGCCUGGGGAACGGCCGGCGGGACGGGGCGAGCAGGGCCUGGGGAACGGCGGGGACGUCCGCGCCCGACGGGAGAGAGCGAGAGGAAAGGGAGCGGGAGCCCGACCGGAGAGAGCGAGAGAAACGGGAGCGGGACGGGGCGAGGCUGCGAGGUGGCGGUGGCGCACGCUCGGCAGGGUAAACCCUAUCCCCGAGCCGGUCCUCCCGACGCAGGCCUGGGCCGGGACGCGAGCAUGGGGGAGGCCCAGGUGGGCAUCGGCCCACUGCCGGUUAACCUUCUCCAGGACUCGGGAGACGCGGCGGGAGGCCCAGGCCAUCUCGCUAGCUGAGAUGGGCCCAGGCCCCGUUCGCAGCGGCCCAUGGGGAGAGCCGGCCCAUCCGUCCGCCAGCCGGCCAGGGGAGUUAGGGCAUGGGGGAGGGGACUGACGAGGCACUCGGGCACCUCCCGCUGCCGCCGGCACCGCCGCCGCCGCCACAGGAGGCAGGGCACCAGCGCCUGGUCGGGGCUCGCGGGGGCCCUCUCCGGCGACCGCCAUGGGGGACAACCCAGGCAGCAAACCGGCUCGGGCCAAGGAGGGGAGAGGGGGAACCACAGGGGGACAGUGCACCGGCGACCGCCGCCCGACCUCCUUCCCCGGCCGCCGGCGGGCAGGGCGCGCCGCAGCCAGGAACGAGCCGAGCAGCGGCGGUGCCAGGGACACCGGCAGCUCCAACCGGUCAUCACCAUCCGAAGAGGCCUCCAUGUCAUCGGGGUCGGGAUCGUCCGUCCAGUCCGCCCAACGUCGCGGCGACCGUUGGAAGCAGAGGGAGGGCGCCCCCGGCGGGGGAAGCGGGGGCAUCGCGCUCACGCAGCACGCCGGCCGACCGCCGUCAGCGGGCACCGCGCAGCUUCAGGUCUCGGCCCGCCGGAGAGGAGCCGCCCAUCGCUUCUUCUCUUCAGGAAUCUAGUCGCCGGCCCACAAGUGGGGUGAUGAACAAGCUAAUGCGAUUUAAAGUAAUCAUACCUCGUCCUAAGAAAUUAAAAGUGAAUUCAUACUGUGCAGCUAGAAAAAGAAUCAUAAAAGUAUACAAGCGCAUGUGAAAAGAAAAAGAUGAACAACUUGCCACUUCAUAUAGGUGAUCUAAUUAACUAAUUUAGGGUUCGAAUAACUUUGUUUCCCCACAAUCAUGACAAAGUGAACCUUUUGUUGAAAGCCGGAAUUCUGCAAUAAAGCUGCAAUGGUAGAUCUAUUUUUAUCAGGGAAUCUACCAUGCUGAGCUGCUGCACACAAGGCGUUCUCACUCACGAGUCGCAAAAAAGAGUUGGUGAGUUAUUAAAAAAGAAGACAAAGAGGACGAGUGAGUUGCACCAAAAUUAAAUACUUCCUUCAUUUCAAAAUAAAUGUCUCAAUUUUAUACUACCUCUAGUAUAAGAGCAUGGUUAAUAGUAUAGUCAACUGCUGGCUAUAAGCUAUCUUAUAGCCUAUCUUAUAGCUAGCUUGUACAAUAGUUAGCUAUAAAAGAGUACUACUUUUAUUCUAUAUGGCCCACCUUUCAUUUUCACAAAGCACCUACGAGCACGUGCUAGAGCUGGCUCUUUACGAAGAGCCCGCUUCCCUUCUCACUCCUAUUCUCUCUCAUCCAACUCAGCAAAAAUACAGUAUUUUAAUCCUUACAGCCUGCUGACUGUACCUUAUUGUACUUGCUCUAAAGUUGUACUCCCUCCGUUCCAAAAUAUAAGACCUUUUAGAGAUUUAUUAGAAGACUACAUACGAAGCAAAAUGAGUGAAUCUAUACUCUAAAAUAUGUCUAUGUACAUCCGUAUGUAGUUCAUAGUGCAAUCUUUAAAAUGUCUUAUAUUUAGGAACGGAGGGAGUAUUAAGUUUGAGGCGGUUAUAUUGAGACGGAGAGAGUACUAGAUAUACGUAAUCUGAAAUAGUGGAGUACCAAAAUUAUAGGCCUCUAUGAUUAGGAGGAUUUUCAUAAAACAUUUGGAAAGUUGUGAUACUUGAGAAUUUUUCCUUUAUCGCUUAUCUGAUUCGUAGAUUGACUCCUAUAGGAUUUUCUCCUAUGGAUUCCCUUUGACUGCACAUUUCAUGAAAAAAAACAUUAGUUUGCCAUGAUAAUUUUUCACCAGGAUGCACAAAAAAUGAACUAGUUCUGAAAGGUUUAUUGGCUUCAUUUGGAUUUACUUAGAAUCAGCUCAUAUUAGCAAUAAUUAAAGAUGGCCGAACGAUGGCGCCGUCUCCCUCCCGACCCGGGGCCGCAUGCAGCCCCUCUCCCUCUGCCCCCCUCCUCCUGUCGGUGCCCUCGGAUCUGGUCCGGGUGGUGUUGGCGGUGGCGGGAUCUCCAUUACCUGUGCGCGGACGUCCUUCCCGAGGCAGGGGAUCGACGGUGGUGCGGCUCGGCCUGCUGUGGUCCGACGACCUAGAGGUGGUGGCCGGCAGCCGACGUGGUGGUGGCGCUGCUCCUUGGCGGCGGGGUGGCCUAGCGGCACGGGGUGGCCGGCUGCACGACCCCGGGCCAGAUCAGGGCCCAUAAGGCCUCAUCUAGGUCCUAGGGGACUGGCUCUGGCAUGGACUUGCUGCCUCCUGUACAGGGAUGAGGAGGGGCGGGUUGAAAGGGGGGCCGCGAUGCCGACGGUGUGCUUUCUGCAGCGCGAUGGCAGGAGCUUUAUGGGUAUUUGUGGGGCCAUGAGCCUGGUUUGCUCCUGCCGAUGUGUCCGGUCGGUUACUGUCGUUGACGAUGGAAGUCGGACCCUCCCGCAGGCCGCCGGUGUUGCUUCCCCUAGUCCCGACUCUUCUUCUUCGAUGUGCAGGCCUCACUUCUCGGUGUCCUGGUGAGACAGUGUGGGUCGCUUCAAGAUUGUGCUUGCGCAGGGCGGUGGGUGGUAUGGUGGAGUCCUCCGGAACGCCCGUGGUGAUGCGUGGGGAUCGGGACGUACAAAUCCUUGUCGGCCUGUUCGACACCGACACGGUGACGCCUGAGGGUGUCGACGGACCUUCCUGGAGGGUGUCGGGUGCUACCCUUUCUUUGUCCUCGUUGUGUAUCGGGGGAAACCCUUGGCAGCAGCGCAGUCAUCGUCGUGUCCCUUCUUGGAGGUGUUGAUUGGUAUCGGCGCUUCGAAGGCUAGGAUCUUGGUGGAAGAUCUUCGAUGGGCGCAACGAUCGCGGGGCCUCUUCAUUUUUGUCGAUCCAUCAUUGUUGGCAUCUAUUCCUUUUGCAUUUUCUUUUUCCCUUCCUUUUGGACGUGAUUGUGAUGUCUCCGUCCCAGCACUUAUUGAUGGAUAUAUCGGGCAUUUGCUAUAUUAAUAUAGCGAGGCGAACGCGUGCUUCGAAGAAAGAUGGACGAACUUACCAACCAUAUUACUUGUGCUUAUUUAUUUUCUUCUGUUACAACGCACAAACAUAUUUGCUAUUUGAACUAAAUCACAUUGCCAAUUGCUCGUCUAUCAUGUCAAAUCAGAACCACGCAUCUAACCCUCCCAAGAUGUAGAUCGAUCGGUUUUACUCGGCAUUCAUUAUGGAUCGGAGGGAGUACUCCUAGAUCAUAUUCAAAAUUGCUCCACGCCACAAAUAAAACUGCACGGUACAUAUGGUAAAUCUGGGAAAGUGAUUUGCGUGGUAUGUGUGCCAUAAUCAACUGAAUUAUUGGACUAACCGCAUCAAGAUCGGAUCACAUCGAUCCUAUCCCCGUCGACGAGACUGUCCUCGAAUCAAAAUAUUUCUCCAAUGGACGCUCGUGUCCCACGCUCUGAAAGCGACGCCUUUUGUUUUGUCAGUUAAUUUUCACGUCAAGCUCACACCCACGCACGCACCGUGUAGGAUCCACGGCUCGACGCACCUCCCCUUCCCUCCCCUUCUCCCUAUUUAACGAGCUAGCCACCCCCACGCUUUUUGCACCUCAGCAAGCACCAACACACACACACACACAAGAAAUGGCGAUGGCUAGGACGACGACGCUCCUCCUCGUCGCCGCAGCUCUCCUCGCGGCCUCAUGCAGCGCAUGGGAGGUCAACAUCCGCAUGCCGACGUCGGCGGCGGACGUGGACGAGGCGGUGGUGGCGCCGCUGAUCCACGCGCUGCGGCCGCUGCUGGGCUCCGGCAAGCACGCCGGAGUGGCGUGCGACAGCUGGGUGCUGGGGGUGGAGGCGCACAACGUGCGGGACUGGAAGACGGUGCCCGCGAGCUGCGAGGGCUACGUCGGGCACUACAUGCUCGGCAGCCAUUUCCGCCGCGACUCCAAGGUCGUCAUCGACCAGGCCCUCGCCUACGUCGACUCCCUCAAGCUCGCCGGCAACGGCAAGGAGGUCUGGGUCUUCGACAUCGACGAGACCACCCUCUCCAACCUCCCCUACUACGCCAAGCACGGCUUCGGGUACGUACUUACACUCUUGUAUACAUUACAUAGACACUACUGAUUCUACGUGUAGUGCAUGCAUUAGACUUGCUAUUUACUGCAGGUACAUCCGACCGAGCAGGGACUUGCACUCAUCUUUUCACUAAGAUGAAGUGUAAAUAAUCUGACUAGAUAUAUAUUGUAAAAAAUCAACUCACUAGCUAGCUAAAAAAUACCAGCGAGAUCUGUAAUGAAUGAAAAUUGGAAAGCACAUAAGGAUAGAAAUAUUGGAAAUAAAAAGGAAUAUAAUCACUAAGUAGAAAAGUACUUUAAUCACAAGUGUUGGACACUUGGACAUCAUCAUUGCCAGUAGGACUCGGGCCAUAUGUCCCUAGUAUGAAUGGCCAACAAAACAAGAAGGAAACAUACUAUAUUUUGAGAUAGAGAUGUGAUGUUGAUGGGCAUGCGAAUGUGGUGGCCGGGUAGGACCGUAUAUGUUGUCCACUUGGCUACUUUAUGGAAAUGUUCUAAUUAUGUUAUGCUAGUCAACUCAUACUUUCUAAUUAUGUCAUACUUUUGUACACAUACACACUAUUGUAGUGCAUUAUACUCCCUCUCUAUCUAAAUACUUAGAGUUCGAAAGAACUAGGUGCAUUUCAGCAGGGGCUUGCACUGAUCUAUUCGUUCAGAUAAAAUAAAUAUCUUACUAGACCUCGUUCAAAUGAACUCACUAGCUAGAAAGCACUAGUAUCAUAAGAUUUCUAAUGAAUGAAAGUGGGAAAACAAAUGAGACUAGAAGUGGAAACAAGGAAUAUACUCACUAGCUAGAAAAGUAUUAAUUGGACGUGUUGGACACACUUAGGCAGCAUCAUUGCUGGUUACCUCAAAUCAGUCACAGAGACGGCCAUCAGGACCAUAAAUAUGUCCCGCCUAUGAAUGGUCAACAAAACAAGAAGGAAACAUAGUACUAUAGUUUGAGAAUAUGGUGGCCGGGGUAGGACCGUAUAUGUUCUCCACUUGGCUACUUUAUGGAAACGUUUAUUUCCAGCUGUCCUUAUCAGCCGAUACGUUCUAAUUAUGUUAUGCUAAUCGAUUGAUAUUUUCUGAUUAUGUUAUGCUAAACUUAGUUCAGAUGGAUAGUACUCCGAUACGUUUUCAUUAUUUUAUGCUAAUCUGAGUUUAGAUGGAUAUAAUUACUUAUUUUAGAAGAUGUGAGAGGUCAGAACAUCUUGUGCAUAGUUAGUAGUUACAUGCUACUCCCUCCGUUCCUAAAUACAAAUCUUUUAAAAGAUUUCACUAGUGGUCUACAUAUGAAGCAAAAUGAAUGAAUUUAUACUAUAAAAUAUGUUUAUAUACAUUCAUAUGUAUUACUCUAACCUCUAAAAAGAUUUAUAUUUAAGAAUGGAUGGAGUACAACUCUAUUCCUCUUUUCUCAAAUAGUUGAACACUAUUCCUCUUAGUUAAGAAGAUUCUCUUGAACCAAGAUGGAAACUAACUUGAAAUGUAGUAGAAGUCUAGGUGAUAUCUAGCCAACAUGAUGAUACCAGUUUAGUUCAAAACAUGAUUAACUAGCUCCGGAUAGCUUGCUUGUGUAUAUUUUGAAUGUGAUGAGGGAGCUAGUUCGUUGUGAUUUAAAAUAAACUGUACCUUGCCGUAAGAACUUUAAAGUGGAUCUACACUGGGCGGCUGGAAAAAGAUACAUAAAAGUAUAUAUAUGCGCAUCAAGGAAAAAAGAAAGAUCAAAAGCUUAUAACAGCAUGUCUAACUAAUCGAGCGGUUCAAAUAACUUUGUUUCAUCACAAUCAUGACAAAAUUAACCUUUUUUGUUGAAAGUCGGAACUCUGCAAUAAGGUUGCAAUGGUAGACCUAUUUUACCAAAGGAAUCAACAAAGCUGAGCUGCUGCGUACAAAGCUGUGCACGAUGAGAUUAAAUACUACAACUGCGUUUUCGGUCCAACAAAACAGUAGCGUGAUGAUGCCGGAGUGAACCUCGCUAUGUCACAUUCAUUGAUUUACUCCACUUGACCAACUUAAUUUACGACGUCCACAACUACGUACUGCUCAUGCACGUGCGUUACGUACAGAUACAGAGCAUCAUUGCGUUUACGUAUUGCCCAUCCCCUUGGCCAUUUGGCCACUUGGGCCAUAAUCUAGGUUGCCUAUGUUCCUUGGAUAUGCAUAAUUACUACUACUUCUUAGUAGCUGAUAUGAUUGAAUCUGCCAUUAAUCUAUCCUCGUAUACAUGUGCGUGCAGGGCUACACCGUUCAACGCGACCAGCUUCAACGCAUACGUGCUACAGGGGAGCGCGCCAGCCCUGCCGGAGACGAAGCGGCUGUACAACAAGCUGCGCUCGAUCGGCGUCAAGCCGGUGUUCCUCACCGGCCGGACUGAGGACCAGAGGGCCAUCACCGUCACCAACCUCCGCCGCCAGGGGAUCUCUGGGUGGAUGAACCUCUUGCUGAAGCAACCCGGGUUCAAGGGCUCUGCGGUGACCUACAAGUCCGGCGAGAGGCAGAAGCUGCAGGACGCCGGGUAUGUCAUCGUCGGUAACAUCGGCGACCAGUGGAGCGACAUCCUCGGCGCGCCAGAGGGUGCCCGCACCUUCAAGCUGCCCGACCCCAUGUACUACAUCGGCUAGGCCGCCUCUGGCUCGGCCGGGCAUGCUGCCAUUGAUUUCUCGAAUAAGCUCCAUGCUCUUAGUUAUAUGCAUGUUUCGUCAGAUAAUCAAUCCCCAAUUGUUGCUUGGUUCAUUUCCAUUGUUGAGAGCUUGAGAUCAAUUGCUACUAUGAAUUAGACGUGUAAGUGGAGAUGUUGCAUGCUGCUUAAUCAAUGGAUCUUUGUUAUGUUGUUUUUCUUUUUGCUCUAUUACAAGGAAUCCAUGGGCAUUAUUACUAUUUGAUAUCUUGUUCUUAAGUCUUAACUUGGAACUUAUAUUGCUGGUGGUAGAUUUUUCUGUACUAAAUUCUGCAUAUGGUGUAUUAAAUAUCAGGGACACAUAAUAUUGUCACACAUAUGGAAUCACUACUGCUAAAAUGACCAGUUCCUGAACCCAUCUGCUAUUGGGCCCAUUUUGGCCCGUCGGAGGAAGGGAUCAUCGUCGGUGGACAGGCAAAGAAGUGCUCGCAUAGACUCCUUCAAAAAAUGUGCCCUCAUAGACGACGGGUAUUUUCCACUGAUGUUGCGCAACUGGUGAUUGCAAUGUAGUUUGUGUCUUGCAUGUUGUAUGCAUAUGUAAUGAAUGUAACAUCUAAUAGUUAAUUAUGCAAGACAAAUAAAGCCCACCCUUUUCAGUAAGUUUAGAGCUAGAUUUGAGUUUGUCUUGGUCUCAUUUUUCUAAACAUACAAUCCUGGAGACAACUCGGUGAAGAAAUGAUGGUCCAAAUAGGUGUCUAACACGAAUCGUCAUCAAAGAAACCCUAUGGGAACCCACACUAUUCUAGUUACUUGGAUGAUUUGUAAUGAAAGAAAUAUAUGUGUCUUCCAAGUUAUUUUGACCAUGCCAAACAACAUCCCUGCUAAGAUAAAAAACGAUGUGGAGACUUGGAUAAAGGCCGGGCGAAGGAUCUGGGAAACAUUAUGCCAGGAGAGUAGUUCCGUUCUAUUAAUUUAUCCUUGGAUGACGUUUCGCGGAGAGAGGGGAGAGGGCGACCUGGGCGAUCUGGGAGCGUCGGGGGCCGCCGUGGGCAUCGUCGGAGAGGGGGAACAUCGGUACUCCUCCUCCGAUCUCGCAUCCCAGGCGCGGCGCCGGAGCCCGAUCUCGGCGGUGGAGGGACCUACUGUCCGUGUCCGAUGGAGAGUUGCGUACUCAGAGGCUGGUUAUUCGGAUCUGCGUGAGGGGCAGAUUGUUUUUCAUUCGGUUUCUCGUUGGAUGACACUACGGGAUGACGACGACGACAUCCUCGCCGGCUGCCAUCUCCAAGAGGAAGAUCUCAUCUGCGAAGGUGCGCAUUUCAUGGUGGAUAUCUUUUCUGUUACUUGUAUUUCUCCUUUCCUGCAGGUGAAUUCACAAGAACGGAUGCAGCCUGAUUUGGUGGACAUAUCUGACGAUGAUAAGAUCGCCUCACCAAGACUUCUCCCUCGAGUUGGGGGGAGGUUUUGGGUACUGGCUAAAGAUGAAGACGACGAGAACCACGACAUUGCCGUAGCACAGGAGGUCUCUGCUCCUUUCUGCGACCAGGUUUUCCAUCCGGCCACGAGGGAUUUUAUUCAUGCAUUGCCUGAUUCGAAGGUCGUUAAGGUAGUUCAACGCAAGGAGCGAUUGGCGAUUAAACCUUGGAGCGGUCCUCUGCCUAAGGUUCAUCUCGAACCAUUGCGGAUCUCGGACAUCAUACCUUGAGAGGCUUGGACUACUGUUUUGCCUAAGAGGAAGAACAAGGGUAAGAGCCGUAAAUUGCAGACGUCAGUCCCUGACAAGGUGCUGUCGUCCCGUGAUUCUCGCGAAUUACGUUUGAACGAGCCGAUGGCUGUUGUCGGGCCGUUGGGACCGGCGCUCGAGUUGGGCUUAAAAGAAACUGGGUAUAUGGCCCAGAUAGACUCCAAUCUAGCAAAACCUGCAAGUCCUACACCUACGGCUGCCCAGAUUUGCCUUGACGAGAAUCAUCAGGACUUGGUUUCUACGUCAAGUUUGCAUAUACCGAGUUCGGCUCUGCCUAGGGUUCCACGACGGCGUUUGCCUGGCUUCCCUUCGCUCGGGCCGGGUCGUGCAGUACGGGUUCCAGCGCUGCGGUGCAUGGCGGGGCGGGGAAACAAGCAGGCGCUGCCUCCCCCUCGACCACCGGCGGUUUCCCAGGCUGUGGGGCGGACUAGGCAGCAGCCCGUGAUGCCGCCAGGGCGCCAGACGGGCCAGGCUUCGGCUGCACCGGUUCCCGCUGCUGGUCAGGGUUUGCCCAACGCGGCUCGGGCGGAUACUAACAGGAUGCAGCCGAGAGGUCGAUGGGGGGAUGAUGGUGUUAAUGCAUAUGGUGAUGGACAGCACCGUGGAUCCUCUUCGUCUGGAGGAGGACGUGGCUAUGCCUGGCAGAGCAAUGGCAGCGCUGCUAAUGGGUUCGCCGGUCCUCCGGGACAGUUUGUGCCCCGGGUCUCGGGUCCUACUCACCCUAGGGAGGUGGAUAUAAGCAACAUUGGGGAGGGAGAGGUGGUGGCAGGAGAUUGAAGCCGCCCACGCCUCCAGUAGAGGUAGAUGCUGCCAAGACAACGGCGGGAGUACCUUCCAAUGCUCCUAAGGGGAAUACACUGCUGCCACCUGUUUCCGAGGAGGAUCCUUCCUUGGCUGACAAGGGAGUAUCGCUUGCGAAGGCAGAGGGGGGGGGAUAGGCCCUCCAAGUGGGCACGCAAAAAAGAAAAGAUGACAUGCUACCGUUGCAGUGAGACGGGUCAUUUUGUUUCCGAAUGCAGCGCGGAUCUGUGUGACUUUUGCUUAAAGCCUAAGCAUGGCUCAGCUAAGUGCCCCCUUACUGUUGGUCCUAUACAUGUCGUCACUUUAUAUGGGGUUUGCUGCCAAGAGUUGAUGUUCUUUGAAUCUCCCUCUGCUUCAACGUCGUUGCAUGUGCCAGACGCGGCCUAUACGGGGACGGUUACGGUGGCUCGUGGUAAUAUGUCAGCUGAGCAGGUGGUGCAACAGUUGAGGGAUCUUGUUUCAUCAAUGUUUCGGUGGGAACUGGUCCUUAUAGCAGAUAAUGUGUUCAAGGUUGUGUUCCCUACCAAGGAGGACCUAGCUAGACUGCUCAAGUUUGGUAUGUGUCGGGUUCCUAGUACUAGUUGUGUGCUAGAGUUCGAUGCUUGGAAGAAUGAGGAGCCAUAAGGUGUGCCACUUCCUCAGAUUUGGGUUCGUUUUUCAGGGGCCCCGUCAAAGGCUCUAAAUGACUUUCUGGUGACUUGGAGUUUGGGAUCUUUGAUAGGUAAGACUGAGAGGGUGGAUAUGCAAUAUACUCGGGCUAAAGGUGUUGCCAGGAUGAGGGUUAGUGUAAUUGAUAUUGCGCUAGUACCGGAUGAAGUUAUAUGGACUUAUGAUGGAAUGCGGUACACCUUGCAACUCGAGAUCGAGAGUCCGGAUAUGUUCGAGGAGGAUGGGACAGACAAAGAUACCGAUAUGGCUGACGGAGAUGAUGCUUCGGGUUCUAGGGAAUCUGAUAAGAAGGAUCAACAGCCAGUUAUUACAAAGAUGGUGGAUCAACCUACCUCAGGUUCUGCUACAGGGGCUGCUCAACCAGUGUCUCUUCCCUCGACGCAGCUUAGGUUCGGUUCCUUUGAACCAGCCUCGGCGCCAGAGAUUCGAGGGAGGGCUUCAGAGAAGUAUGAGCGGGAUCUGGUUCAUCUUAAGCCGCAAGGAAAGCAAGCAAAGUCAGGGUCAUUCAGUAUUAAAAAUCCUAAGGAAGCUUUGACCGUAGUUUCUCUUGGGGAAUAUUUUGUUGUCGCUAGGAAUGCUGAUACGGGCCGGUCUCAGCAACGUGAUGCAGUGCAGCCAGCAAGGCAUAUGUUGUCCGGGUUGGGUACUGUGCCGAGGGGUGCGCCGCCUGGGUCGCCUAGGCAGGGUUCGCUGCUGCUGUAGAGUCCAUCGCCAGCCACCCAGGGGGUUGCUGUUUCUCGGCCAGCCACCCCUGGGGCUGCUACCUUUUUGCCAGCCACACCGAGGGCAAUUACAGCGACUCCUCCUCCUGGCCUACUUCCGUCGUUGGAUGCUGCUGCGAGAUCCACCCCUGCUGCUGGUUUCAUGUCAGCCGAGAGAUCAACCCCUGUUGCUGCGGUUCCUAUCGCUACUAUGGCUGCAACCGGGGCAUCAUCUUUGCGGGUGUCAGGGCUGGAGGGUACUGGUCAGGGGCACCAUGGCGAGGUCGUUGCACCGCCGUCUGUUGAGCAGGUCAUAGCAUACGGAGGUAUUCAAAGUCCGCUGACUUCGGACAGGAGGUCCAGUCGGCGAAUUCAGAAUCAACCUGAUGCGGAUUAUUUACAGAUGGGACGUGCUAUGCGUGCGGCUAAAAUGAGAGAUGUCGAAACUGAGACAGGUAUGUCUUUCAGCAUUAACGAUUCUAUUCUUCAUUUUUCUCCUCAAGAUAUUCUAGAUAAGGCAGGUUCUAUUGGGGUUACAUUGGGGAACAAUGGCCGAGAAAUUUCGAAAUCUAUUAAUGAUCUAUUAGACUUAGAGGUCGAUAGAGCGUUAGACUUAGUACGAAAUUUAGCGGCAGUUAAACCAAUGCAAGAGUCUGAAGUUAACGAUCUAGGGGGACUGAAUUCUCUUUGUGAUAGUCUGGCCCCGUCAGUGGAUAUAGAGGAUGGUGCGGGCGAGGUUUUAGUUGGUCAAGGGAUGUGUGCCCAAUCUCAUAAGGCUGAGCCUCAAUUCUCUGGUUAUAUGGACCAGGAGUUGCUGGAAAAGCCGAAGCGUCCAUGGAGACGGAAAGUGUAUCCGGUCUCUGCGAUACGUAGAAGUGCUAGAUUUAAGAUUGCCAAAAAAAAUUAUGAUGAUUAAUGAGAGGAAUUUUUUGGAAUAGCAGAGGUCUUUGAGACUUGGCUAAAAGAAGAUUUCUAGCAGAGGCUACUUUAGAGCAUCACCUUGAUUUUAUCGCAGUGAUGGAGACAGGGAGGGAUAACUUUACGUCUCAUUUUUUAAGUUCUCUAUCAGCUGGGGUGGAUUUUGACUGGCACUGUCUCCCUCCAAGAGGAAGGUCCGGUGGGAUCUUACUUGGGGUCCGUUGUGACACUUUUCAAGUGCGGGAGGUGGUGUUUGGGGAGUUUGCAGUCAAAUUCAAGAUUAGAUCUAAGGAUGACGGGUUCCAAUGGGCUCUCGUUGCCGUCUAUGGCGUAGCACAGCCAGAUCUAAAGCCUGAUUUCCUAGCAGAUCUGGUCAGGAUUUGUGAUGACAAACUACCAUUGCUGGUAGGUGGAGAUUUUAAUAUUAUUAGGCGGGCUGAUGAAAAAAGUAGUGUUAAUUUUGAUGGAAGAUGGCCUUUCAUGUUUAACACAAUUAUUGAGAGCUUAGAUAUGAGGGAGACCGCUCUAUCAGGUAGGAAAUAUACCUGGGUGAAUGCUCUACAGAAUCAGACAUUUGAAAAGUUGGAUCGUGUCUUAACUAGUGUAGAGUGGGAGCAGAAGUUCCCUCUAGUAACUGUUAGAGAACUUCAACGCGCAAUCUCGGAUCAUACUCCUCUGUUGCUGGAUUCCGGUGAGGCUAGCCAUAUAGGAAACAAACAUGGAUUCUCUUUUGAAUCAAGUUGGUUCACAAGGGAGGGGUUCAUGGAUAUGGUCGAGAGGGAAUGGAAUACAGAGGUCAGGGGCGAAACCUCUAUAGAAAGAUGGCAGUAUAAGAUUAGACAUCUUAGACAGUAUUUGAGGGGCUGGUCUAAGAAUGUGUGUGGAAUAUAUAAAGAAGAGCAAGAUAAGCUCCUCAAACUUAUAGACAAUCUAGAUCGGAAGGCUGAGAGUUGUCUUCUGGAUGCUAACGAAAGGGAUCUCAAAUUCGAGGCCGGACAGCGCUUGCGUAUUCUCCUAAGAGAGGAGGAAAUGAAAUGGGCGCUUGAGCCAAAGUGAAGGCCAUAGUUCUUGGAGACAAUAACACUAAAUUUUUCCACUUGAUUGCAAAUGGCAAGCAUAGGAAAAAGAAAAUAGUGCAGCUUGAGCAAGAUGAGGGUACAAUACUAGGUCAUGAGAAUCUAAAAUUGUACAUCUCUAACUACUACAAACAUUUAUUUGGUGCUCCUGAGCAUAGCUUUGUGACUAUGGAUGAGCAAAAAGUGGCGGAUAUUCCUCAAGUUGGAGAGGCUGACAAUGAGAUUUUAUCCGCUCCUUUCUCAGAGAAAGAGGUGUUUGACGCGAUAGGGAAUAUGAAGAAUGGAAAAGCUCCCGGUCCAGAUGGGUUUCCGGCGGAGUUUUACAAGCACUGUUGGCAUAUUAUUAAGAAUGAUCUUAUGUCAAUGUUUGCUGAUCUUUUUAGUGGUCACCUUCAACUCUUCCAUUUGAAUUUUGGUACUAUUACACUCUUACCAAAGAAGGAAGGGGCCACGCGGAUUGAACAGUUUCGUCCGAUCUGUUUGUUGAAUGUUAGCUUCAAGAUUUUCACAAAGGUGGGAACAGAUAGGUUGACUAAGAUGGCCCAUUCGGUGGUACAAUCUACGCAAACAGCUUUUAUGCCAGGACGGAAUAUCCUUGAAGGAGUCGUUGUCUUGCAUGAAACUCUUCAUGAAAUGCACUCGAAGAAACUAGAUGGGGUUAUCUUUAAAGUGGAUUUCGAAAAAGCUUACGAUAAAGUCAAAUGGUCGUUUCUCCAGCAAACCCUACGUAUGAAGGGUUUCGAUGAGCUGUGGCGUAGGCACGUCGAUUGUUUUAUAAAGAAGGGAAGUGUGGGUGUCAAAGUGAAUGAUGAUGUGGGUCAUUUUUUCCAGACACUAAAGGGUCUCCGCCAAGGAGAUCCAAUGUCUCCCAUUUUAUUUAACAUUGUUGCUGAUAUGUUGGCACUGCUGAUUAAGCGGGCCAAUGAGAAGGACCUUGUAAGGGGCUUGAUCCCUCAUCUUGUUGAGGGGGGGAGUCUCCAUUUUACAAUAUGUGGAUGACACGAUUCUUUUUUUGGAGCAUGAUCUCAGUAAAGCCAGGAACCUCAAACUUAUCCUAUGCUUAUUUGAACAGCUAUUAGGGCUGAAGAUAAAUUUUCAUAAAAGUGAAUUGUUUUGCUUUGGAAAGGCCAAGGAUGAGCAGCUCACGUAUAAUCAAUUGUUUGGUUGUGCUAGCGGGAGUUUACCUUUUACUUAUUUAGGGAUCCCAAUUCAUCACAGAAAAUUAUCAAAUAAGGAUUGGAAAUGUAUCGAGGACCGUUUCGAAAAAAGUUGAGCUGUUGGAAGGGCGAGCUCUUAUCGUAUGGAGGAAGGUUGAUACUGGUUAAUUCAGUAUUAACAAGUAUGCCUAUGUUUCUCCUAUCCUUCUUUGAAGUACCUGUUGGGGUACGGAAAAGGUUGGAUUUCAAUCGAUCACGGUUUUUCUGGCAAAGUGAUGAGAUCAAGACUAAAUACAGACUCUCGAGAUGGGACAUCAUGUGUAGACCUAAGGAUCAAGGAGGUUUAGGGAUUGAAAAUUUAGAGAUUAAAAAUAAAUGUCUACUCAAUAAAUGGCUGUCUAGAUUAUCUAUGGAGACAAAGGGGUUGUGGGUACAAAUUCUGACGAAUAAAUACCUACAAAACAAGACUUUGGCGCAGGUUACAUUGAGACCAACUGAUUCACCGUUCUGGAAGGGGGUCAUGCGGUCUAAGAAUGCUUUUUUUCUCAGGUCUAAGUUUGUUAUUGGCAAUGGCCAAUCUACUAGAUUUUGGGAGGAUACUUGGUUGGGGGAGACGCCUUUAGCCAUGCAGUAUCCGCAACUCUACCAUAUUACACAAAGGCGUCAGGCGACUGUUGCGUCAAUUUUGCGCCAGGUUCCUCUAAAUAUUCAGUUAUGUAGAGCCUUAAUAGGUAACACAUGGUCAAGCUGGCUGCAUCUAGUGAGAAGGUUGUUGGAUAUUACCCUUACUGAGAACCCUGAUAGUGUUCGUUGGAAGUUGACCACUGAUGGAGUUUUCUCGGUAAAAUCUAUGUAUUUAGAUCUCAUAGAUUCUGUGUCCAUCCCGAAGUCCUUACAUAUUUGGAAGGUCAAAGUUCCACUUAGAAUUAAGAUCUUCAUGUGGUUUGUUCGCAAGGGGGUUAUUCUAACUAAGGAUAAUUUGGUCAAACGUAAAUGAAAAGGUAAUACUAGAUGCAGUUUUUGUGAGAACGAUGAAACAAUUAAACACCUCUUUCUGGACUGUCCUAUGGCUAAACUUCUAUGGCGAACACUUCUUAUUACUUUCAACAUUAAGCCACCCAAUAGUUUAAACACGUCAUUUGGGACGUGGUUAAGAGGGGUCGAUGAUAUAACUGCUAGCCUGAUCCGAGUAGGAUCAUGUGCACUUCUGUGGGCUACAUGAAACUGUAGAAAUGACUUGGUAUUUAACAAACAUCAACAUAUUCACUUUUUGCAGGUCAUUUUCAGGGUUAUUGCCUUGAUCCGCACAUGAUCAUUACUCACUCCUGUGGAAGCCAGGGAGCCUAUGGUUACUGGGUGUGUCCGAUGGAAGAUGGUAGCUCAGGUUAUCUUCAACCGUUUUGGAUGACGGCAUAUUAAUAGGAUAGGUGUUUAGUCAUCUAGGCUUAUUUCAAUGCCUCCCGGUUGUGGCGACGACGCCGUGUAUCUUUUUGUUAUUUUCUUCAUUUACUUAUCUGAAGACUCUUUGUACUUUUCGAGGAUUUGGUUUUGAAAUAAUAUAUGGCCGUAUGCAUCCUUCGAUGCCGAGGCCGGGGCUUUGCCUCCUUUUCAAAACAAAAAAAUUUAAUUUAUCCUUUCAUUGUUAACCCCUUUUUUGGACUGCAGUUAUUCUAACUCUCUUUUAAGUAAUGUAAUAAGGCAUAUCUUUUUCCUCCAUUUCGAGACAAAGUUCGGACCUAGCACAACUGUAACAUCCGCUCUACAUCGACUCACUCUAGAGAGACUAGUCUUGGCACCUUUUGCAGAACAUGAUUAGUGUCCUGACAUGGAGUAUUUUAGCAUAUAAUGGUCAACUCUCAAGCACAUAUCACUUCAAAUUGCAUUGCUGAAAAAGAACAUACACUUGCACGUUUUUCGAACUUUCACGCAACAAUAAAGUAACUCAAUGAAAUAUUAUGAUACACUCAAAAACAAUAAUAAGCACUCAACAAAAUAUCAACAGUUUUAUUUUGAUGGACGUAGUAGGACUGUAUCUGUUGUCCACUUGGCUACUUUAUCAACAUAUUUAUUUCAACCACCCUGAUCAACAGACAAUAUCUAAGUAUGUUAUGCUAAUUGAGUUAAAAUGGAUAAUCCUUAUUUUAUAAGAUGCAAGGAGUCGAAACAUAUUGUGAUUAGUUGCAUGCUACUAGCCUACUACAACACUAUUGAUCUUAGUUAAGAAGAUUAUCUUGUGAUUAGACGAAGUCUAGAUCAUCUAGCCAAGUAUGAAAAUAUUUAAAGGAGCGUGUGGAUACCUUUUCUUCUUUAAUAAAGGAAAAAAAAUUGUGUAUAUAUGCGAGUCUGAAAACAAAGAAAAGAAAGAUGGACAGCUUAUCACAGCUUCACAUAUGUCAUCUACUCCCUGCGUUCCUAAAUAUAAGUCUUUUAAAAGAUUUUACUAAAAGACUAUAUAUGAAGCAAAAUGAAUGAAUCUACAUUUUAAAUAUAUCUAUAUACAUUCUUUAGAAAGACUUAUAUUUAGGAACGGAGGGAGUAAUAGCUAAUUGAGGGGUUCAAAUAACUUUGUUUCGCAAUAAUGAUUGAAAAUCAACCUUUUGUUGAAAUCCGAAACUCUACGUACGGUAGACCUAUUUUUAUCAAGGGAAUCAACAAAGAUGAUCUGCUACAUAAAAAUGCGCGUAUGGUCACUCACGAGCCACAAGGACGAUGCUUGAGUAGUGAUGAGUGAGGUGCACGAUGAGAUUAAAUAUUCCAACUAGUGUAACCGAAAAGUAUAGUAAGUUAGACAUCGUUCUUGGUCCACGAAAAUAGUGGCGUGAUCGAUGACAUCUUGAUGCCGGCCGGAGACUAGGAUCUGGCUGUUUGAUAGGGUACCAAUUAAUUUAUACCCUCCACUUGGCCAACUUACUUCAUCACCAGUCGAUAACUGUAUACGCAUUGUUCCAUAUUCAUGCAUGCACGUGCUUACAGCCCAAGAGCAUUGGGUUUAGCUGGUGCUGUCUGAUCCGCUUGAACUCGUAGAAAAAGGGCCUUUGGCCUGGACCCUUUAGUCCCAGCCUGUCUUUCGGUCGGAACUAAAAGCCGGCCACGUCAUCCCAAAUUAUCAGUUUAACCCGCUUGGCCACCAUUUAUAUCAUUAAAAAACCUCAAAUUUGUAGCGGGGUGAGUUUACAUGUUACCUUGGAUCGCCAUUGUUUUUUUGGCCCUGCGUGUAACGACGAUGGCCGGAGUAGGCUCGUGCAGAUUAGUCCUCCUCUUGGUAAUUAAGGAGUAUAUAUCCACUAGCUAGUGUCUGACAUUCAGAACCUCCACUCGAUGGCCAGAGUAUUUGAUAUUUAUACUCUCCUCUUGGUAAUUAAGGAGUGCAUAUCCACUAGCUAGUGAUCUAAACGUUUCUAUAUUAAUUUAUGGAGGAAAUAUUUAAUAAGGUUAUUACCCAACAUUACAGGCGCCAUCCGAUAAACCAUAUCACUUUUUUUUGCGAGGACCUAAACCAUAUUCAAAAUGCAGAAUUACUGGCACGUGGUGUAGUUUACGGAUCGAGCCUCCUCCUUCGUGGGCACCAUAGUAGUCAUGCAAGACAUCGUAGUUAUAUAGUGGUCAAGUGUGAGUUAUGAUUGCUUGUAUAUUUUUUAUGCGAUUUAUGAGUCAAUAAAAGUGCUUUUAUUGAGAAAUGUAUCUAUAUUGAUUAUUGUUGAACCUGCCAUUAAUGUAACUAUUUACACAUGUGCGGGGCCAUGCCGUCCAACACGAGGAGCUUCAAAGCGUAUGUGUGGGAGGGGAGUGCGUCGAUGCUGCAAUGACGAACUGCUCUUGGUCGGCGUCCAGCCGGUGUUCCUCACCGGCCAGACCGAGGACCAUAGGGACAUCAUCGUCACCAACCUCCACCGCCCGAGUUCAAGGGCUCCACGGUAACCUACAAGUCUCAUGAGAGGCAGAAGUUGCCGACGACCUGGUAUGUCAUCGUGGGCACCAUUGAUGACCAAGGGAACGACAUCCUGGGGGUAUCCGGUGGGGGGCACACCUUCAAGUUGCCCGACCACAACGGCUAGGCUACAUAGAGAUCGGCCAUGCCUUGAUUGAUUUCUUGAGUAAGCUCUAUGCUUUCAAUUGUAUGCAUGUUUAGUAAACAAUCCCUCCCUAGUUGUUGCUUUGUUCAUUUUCAUUGUCGAGAACUUGAGAUCAAUAGUUAGUAUUUAUAAGACGUGUUACGCUAAAAGUUGCAUGCAACAUAAUCAAUGGUUUGUUGGUUUUAUUGUUUCUCUCUAUUACGAGAUCCAUGGGCUAUAUUGUUGUUUGAUGUAUUGUAAUUCUUAACUUGGAUCUGUAAUAUUGAUCAUGGUGUACUUUUUAACUAAAGAUUGUUGAUGGUGGAAUUAGUAUGAAAGGUACAUAGUGCUGUCACACAUAGGGUGUCACUACUCCCAUUUUGGCCCAACAGAAGGAAGGGUCAUCAUUUACGGGUCACCAGACUGCGUUAGUAUAGAGGCAACAAGGUAUUUUAACCAUGCCGAACAUCAUUAUUGUGAAGAUUAAAAAUGAGGCGGCAACUUGGGUCAAUUUUUGGGGUGGAGGAUUUGAGAAACACUAUGCCCCGUGAGAAACUCCGCUAUAUUAUUUAAGUCUUUCGUUUUUAGCCUCUCUUUUUUCGGCAGCGGUUCUUCCAACUCUCCUAGUAAAUAGAAAGGGGGAAAGAAAAUCUUUUGCCUCCAUUUUGAAAAAGAAAAGGUUGAGACUAACAUCCCUUUCCAUCGACCCACUCUAGAGAGUGUCUCCAACCUUGUUUUCUUGGCCCUUUUGCAUGACAUGAGUAGUGUCCUAACAUGGACUCCUUGAUGUGUAACGCUCAGCUCUCCUGACCAAAUCGCUUAGAAUUACAUCACACGCAAAAGUUAUAUACUUUUGCAUGUUUUUCGCACGUCAAUGCAACAUUAAAAAUUUCAAUGAAACAUUAUGAUACAUUUUGAAACAAAAAAGAACUCAGCAAAACAUACUGUGGAAAUAGAAAAUUUUUGCCAACAACUAAAAAAACGCAGUCAUCAAUUUAGCCGCAACAAAAAUAAGAUGUUAGAAGUCAGAACAUCUUGUGCAUGAUUAUAUGCUAUAGGACUAUUCAUUAGAGAAACUAGUUGGGUAAAACUUUCUCCUUUUUCCGAAUCUCCUUUUUAAUGUGGGGAAAAAGCUAAUGCAUUGUGGUUUAAAGUAAAUAUUACAUCGGCCUGGGAAAUUUAAAAUGAAUCUAGACUGGACGGCUACAAAGAGAACCAUAAAAGUAUUCAAGCACGUCAGAAGAAAAGGAAAGAUAAAAUUCAAAAAAGAAAAGAGAAAAGGAAAGAUGAACAACCUAUCACUUGCCUCAUAUCUUUACCUAAUAAUAAAGAGGCUAUUGCUUCCGUCGAAAAACCCACCGCUGCCGUUUUUUAAAAAGCCCCCUGUCUUUUAGGUAAUUAAACCCGCAGUACCUUUUUAUGUGUUACGAACAUGAAAACGUUUCAUUUUUGCAGGGAGCCUCCCAUGGCAUUGGAUAAGAGAAACGCAUCUGGGCUGACGAAAACGCACGAGAGGGCUAUCGCUUCUGCCCUCAUAAUCCCACAUCGAUACUUCACAGAUAAUUUCAUCACUUUAUAUACAUGCGCCUUGGUGAUUUUACAAGAGGCAACGGAAAUCAAGAGAGGAACAAAUUCGAGAAGAAGAAAUUGAGAUGACGCAAACAGAGGUGGAGCUGCGAGACAGAGGGGGCUCGGGGCGAAGGAAAGGGUCGGGCGCCGGCGAUGCAUACGUGGAGGUGGGGGCGUCGGGGUUAGAGGAUUCAGGCAACCGGCGGGGUAAGUCUUGCCGGAGACUGGCCCCAUAGGCCGACCUCGCAGCAGCACACCAUGGGAGGUGGUCGCGAGGUGCAGAGGUGGGAGGCGGUGGAGGAGCGGAGGAGGAGGCGAGUGCGGGCGCCAUUGGAAGGGGGGAGUCGGGGAGAUUGGGGAUCCUGUGGGGCUCUCUCCCCUAGCGGCGCGAGGUGGAGGAGAGGAGGGGGGCUGGGGAUCGGGCUAGGUUAGGGGAUUUAGGAGUGGGUAAGGCUAUGCCUUGGCACGCCUAAUGGGUUGUGCACUACUACUCAUCUCUCUUUCCUUUAAUUUCUUUAUCUAAAUUCUUUAAUUAAAAAUAUGUGGUAUUAUUUUUUUUCCGUUGCAACGCACGGGUCCUUUUGCUAGUAUCAUCUAACAAAUCGAGGGGUUCGCAUAGAUCUGCUUCGCCACAUAAUAAUAUAAUCAUGACAAAAGGCUACCUUCUGGUGAAAGCAGAAGCUCUGCAAUAAAGCUGCAAUCGUAGACCUAUUUUAUGAAGGGAACCAACAAAUCGAGCUGCACAAUCCAAUUAAAUACUAAUUCCUCCGUUCCUAAAUAUAAGAUUUUUUAAAGAUUAUAUUAUGAACUACAUAAAAAGAAAAAUGAAUGAAUCUAUAUUUUAAAAUAUGUUUAUAUACAUUUGUAUGUAGUUCAUAGUUAAAUCUAUAAAAGGUCUUAUAUUUAAAAACAGAGGGAGUAUAAGUACUGAGUAAGUUUGACAUUUGUUCUUGGUCCAACAAAACAGUCGUGUGACCCAUGACGAAGCGGCGAUGCCGGAGUUGGAUCUCACUGUCUGAUAUUUAUCGAUUUGUGCCCUCCACUUGGCCAGCUUAAUUGAUCACCAGUCUCUUUCAUUGACAAUUAGUGCUGCUCAUACACGUGCGUUGCAUACAGAUGAUAUAUUGGGUUUAGGUACGGCUGUCUGAUCCACUUGGCCACCUUCUCACUAGAAAGCUCAAGUUUGCAGCGACGAGUUUGCAUGUUACUACAUUGGAUCGCCGUUGUUUAGCCCUGCGUGUGUGAUGAGGGGCGGAGACCCGGAGCAGACCCGUGCAGAUUCGUAUUCCCUUGGUUAUGUUUUAUUCUGUAUAUUAGGUUUGUAUAAUGUAAAACCUAAAUUUGCUUCGCCACAUAAUAUAAAAUAAUAUAAUCAUGACAAAGGCUACCUUCUGGUGAAAGCAGAAGCUCUGCAAUCAAGCUGCAAUCGUAGACCUAUUUUAUGGAGGGAACCAACAAAUCGAGCUGCACAAUCAAAUUAAAUACUACUCCCUCCCUUUUUAAAUAUAAAAACUUUUAAAAAUUAUACUAUGAACUAUAUAAGAAACGGAAUGAGUGAAUCAAUACUCUAAAAUACUCCCUCCGUUCUAAAAUAGGUGUCUUAACCUUAAUACAAUUUUGUACUAGAUCUAGUACAAAGUUGAGACAAUUAUUUUAAGACAGAGAGAGUAUGUCUAUAUAUAUUUAUAUGUAGUUUAUGUUGGCUUUGGAUCCGUAGAUUAAUUCACCCAGUAGCUACCACAUACGUGCAAGCUAGCCUCUAAGCUAGCAAGCAGGCACACAAGUGGAUGGAUAUCCAAUUCGUAGAAAUAGAACGACGUACGACGAGCUAGCUAACUGAUUCGAUCGUCUUGACUGCUCGGAAUGUAACUCGUUGAAAAACUGAUCGAUGGAUUGCUAACAGGCUCGUAUCGAGCCUGGUACUUUUUUAUUGCGUUUUGAUCUCUGGUGUUACAAGCAACAUCUCUAGGAUGCCUUUUAUACACAUCCACAAGGAACUAUGAAAAUAGACUAGGACUAGGUAUCCUAAUACUACUAGAACUCGGUUUGAUUUUCUUUCCUAAUCCUAUGUGUACAAGGCAACGUGAUUAACUCACAUUCACCCCCUAAUCACGAUGUCCUUACUUCCGACCUGGGUCCCAAACACGAUUGCUGCUUCUCAUAAAUGUUAUCAUCGACAUGGCCUUUGUCGUCCCUUGCAACAUUUUAUGGACCGUCUUUACUGUCGUCGGCUCGUCCGUAGCUCGAUGACAACACUCCUUUUUGGUCGUGUCUUCAAUCUUCAUCUCUUCUUCGGUGCUUUGUAGACUGUCCUUCGGAUCAUCGAGGGUACAUCUUUUGAACCUGAGCGUGACCAUACUUUGGUCUAACUUUGAAUUUCAAGCUCUUGGCGCUUGCAUCAGCCCGUAACUUUGAACCACAAGGAAGAAGUACUUCUUUCCUCCGUGAGUUGCUGGGGUGAUAGGGCCACAUAGAUCACCAUGGAGCAGCUAGAGUGCAUCACUUGCACGAUAGGUAGACUGAGCAGGGAACGGCCUGCGGUGCUGUUUUCCAACCAAGCACCCGUCACAUACUCGAUCAACAUGGUCGAUAACUGGCAUCCCGGAUACCAUCUCCAUCUUUGACAUCUUCUUCAAGGCGUAGAAGUUAACAUGUCCGAAUCAUCAUCACUCUUGGCGAGCCAACACUCCAGUUGAGAUUGAUCAAGGUUGAGGAUAUAGAGCCUGUUCCGUGUGCGAGUAACACGAGCUAGCACGUUUCGGAGGUUGUCGAAGAUCGUCAUUACUCCGUUAUCGAUACCCACCUUGCAUCCAUUCUCGUCAAGCUUCCCAAUAAAGAUGAUGUUGUUGUGAAGCCGUGGGAUGUAGUACACUCCGGUAAGUAUGCGAUGUUCGCCUGUGAGACCCUCGAAGAGGACAGAUCCUUGCCCACAAAUCUCCACAUUUGAACCAUCACCGAACUUGACUGAGCCUUCAACAUCGUAUUCCAGCUCGAGGAAUUUCUCCUUGCACCCCGUCAUGUGGUUACUGGCACCCGUGUCGAGAUACCACAACACAUUCUGAUCACCAGCUAACUUCGGUGUCACUUUGUUUUCAUGAAGUAGCACCUUCCGGCUUGGUUUCACAACCACCGUUUCAGCGAGAUCACAAACUUCGGCCAUCAGAAGACCUGGACCUUCGUCUUCCUCCUUUGCCAAAUUUGCCUUGAUCUCUCGCUUGUCAUGCUCCGGACAAUCCUUUGCAAAGUGACCCAUCUCGUUGCAGUUAUAGCACUUGACCUCGGACAUAUCCAAGUUCCGUUGCUUCCGCCCUUUAGAUCGGUCAGCCUUACCACGACCUUGUAGCUUGCCUUUUCCUUUGCCUUCUCCGGUUUGUCCGCCGCGCGUUGUGCUGCUUGAGCCUUCGUUGCCAUCACACCUUCCUUUGCUACUUGGGGACUCCCAAUCUGCACGUGAGUACAUGAGUUGGUCACUACCUCCUCCGUUGCCUUCCCGACAACUACGAGAAUUCUCUUCCCACGUCCGCAGGCGUCCGAUCGCCUCCGUUAUGGUCAUGUCGUCGAUGUCGUAAAGCUGCUCGAGCGUGCCAAUGAUGUACGUGAAUUUUUUAGUCACCGAACUGAAAAAUUUCUCCACAAUCUCGGUCUCCUCGAGCUUUGCACCAAGCGCGCGGAUCUCUCCCACCAAAGUAGUAAGACGCAUGGCAUAGUCGUUCACCGAUUCAGUUUUCUCCAUCUGCAACUUGUGAAAUUGGCGCUUCAGCACUUGUGCCCGAGCCUUGGUGACGCGAUCUUCUCCGAUCCUCAUCUCGUUGAGUGCGUUCCACGCCUCUCUUGCCGUCUCGAACUCCACCAAUGUCAUCAGCACGGAAUCCGGCACAGACUGGGCUAUGGCGGCCAUGGCACCUUCGUCGCGCUCCUCGUCGACGUCGUCGUCCGUGAUGGCCUCCCACACUCGAAGAGAUCGGAGAAUAAUCUUCAUCUUCACCGCCCACACGUCAUAGUUGGCAUCGGUGAGCAUCGGGUACUGGAUGGGGAUGUUGCGAUGCGCCUGGACGUUGGCGCUGCUCGUUCCUCCAUCACUCGUUGCUGACUUGUCGUCCUUCUUCACCUUGUCGUCGUUCUUGUUCGCCUUGGCACCGCCUUUGCCGGAUUUGACCGACUCAGCGUCGCUGUCCGUCAUCGUAGAUCGUAGAUCGUCGAGGCUCUGAUACCAAUUGUUGGCUCUGGAUCUGUAGAUCAAUUCACCCAGCAGCUACCACGUACGUGCAAGCUAGCCUCUAAGCUAGCAAGCAGGCACACAGGUGGAUGGAUAUCCAAUAGAACGACGACGAGCUAGCUGACUGAUUCGAUCGUCUUGACUGCUUGGAACGUAACUCGGUGAAAAACUGAUCGAUGGAUUGCUAACAGGCUCGUAUCGAGCCUGGUACUUUUUGUAUUGCGUUUUGAUCUCUGGUGUUAUAAGCAACAUCCCUAGGGUGUCUUUUAUACACAUCCACAAGGGACUAUGAAAAUAGACUAGGACUAGGUAUCCUAAUACUACUAGGACUCGGUUUGACUAUCUUUCUUAAUCCUAUGUGUACAAGGCAACGUGAUUAACUCACAGUUCAUAGUUGAAUCUUUAAAAGGGCUUAUAUUUAAGAACGAAGGGAGUAUAAGUAGUGAGUAAGUUUGGGACACGCCGUUUUGGCUCCCGGACUCAGAUGAGCCCGAGCGUAAACAGUACGCCAGUUUGGGGUGCAAAAAAUGUUCCAAAAAAUCAAAAAAAAUUGUGAUGCAAGAUGCUCCUAUGUGUGAACUCUCUGUAAAAUUUUGUGAAGUUUGGACAUACGAGGAGCUCACUGCAAAAAAGACGAAAUUCAGAUGUGUGAGAAACUUUUGAAAAUCACACUAUUCAUGCCUGAUUUUGUCUUUUUUGCUGCAAACUCUUCAAAUGUCCAAACUUCAUAAAAUUUUACAGAGUUCACACAUCGAAGCAUCUUGCAUCAUAAAAAAAUAUUUUUUUUAAACUUUUUUGUAUUCCAAACCGUUGUACUGUUCACCGGGCUCAUACGAGCCCGGGCUCACAGAUGGAUUACCGGUAAGUUUGACAUUUGUUCUUGGUCCAACAAAACAAUGGUGUGAUCGAUGACCAAGCGGCGAUGCCGGAGUUGGAUCUCGCUGUGUGAUAUUUAUCGAUUUGUGCCCUCCACUUGGCCAGCUUAAUUGAUCGCCAGUCUCCUUCAUUGACAAUUAGUGCUGCUCAUACACAUGCGUUGCAUACAAAUGAUAUAUUGGGUUUAGGUACGGCUGUCUGAUCCACCUGGCCACCUUCUCACUAGAAAAGCUCAAGUUUGCAGCGACGAGUUUGCAUGUUACUACUCCCUGUGUACCGAAAUAUAAGACCUUUAAGAAAAAUUCCGACCAGAUGAAAAUGUGGACAAUUGACCAGGUUACCCCCCACCUCCGGCAGCUCGCUAAUUUCAAAUCAACCCAGAUCCAGUCGCCCCCCACCUCCGGCCAGCUCGCUAAUAACCCAGAUCUCACUACUCUGCUUGUCCGCUCCCUCCUCUGCCCCAGCUUGUCCGCUCCCUCCUCUGCCCCAGCUUGUGCGGCCCCUCCUCUGCCCCUACCUCCUCUGCCCAGCUCGUCUGCUAGCUACCAGCAGCUUCUCCAGUAGCCAGCGGCAGCAGCUCCUCCGGCAGCUAGCAGUAGAUCCAGCAGCUCCUCCACCAGCCAAUAGGAACUCCAGCAGCUCCUCCACCAGCUAGCACGAGCUCCAGCAGCUCCUCCACCAGACACCAGCACCAGCUCAUCCACCAGCCAGCGGCAGCCCCUCUGUCUGCCGGCAGAAGCAGCUCUUCCGCCUCUGCACUCCCAGCUGCCUCAACGAGGUCCUCUCCCAGUGAUGCACCCAUCGCCCAACAGAUCGCCGGAGGUUUUUCUUUUGAUCCAGGGUGCAGAUCGCCACAGGAGGUCCUAGUGGUGUUGGAUCCUGCUUAUCCCGUCUCCUGCAAACCAAAAAAGCAGGACAAUUAGAGGGUAUUUAUCACAACUUAGCAACAGUUGAACAGAAAACAGUUUAACAACAGCAGCAAAAAUUUUAGCGAGAUCAACAACAUCAGUAGCAGCAUCAAGACAUAGCAACAAUAGCAGCAAUAGGGAGACAUAGAAGUAGCGACAUGGAGUGGCAGCAGGAGUUCAUCAAAAUCAAUAGGGAGUAGCAGCAGCAGGAGUUCAUCACAAUCAAAAUCAACAGGGAGUGGCAACAACAUGGAAUUUGACCUCAACUGUACUCCGCCCGAAGAAGAUGAGAUCAGUCAAAAUGAGAUCAACAUGGAGGACUCACAGGGAGGCAAUGAUCAUGUUGAAGAUGAGAUCAACAUGGAGGACUCACAGAGAGGCAAUGAUCCUGGUGAACAUGAUAUGAACAUGGAGCAAAUAAGGGGAGGCAAUGAUCCCCACGAAGAUGAUAACAGUAAGCACAAUAUACUCAUUUAGCAGUAACAGUGUCUCAUUUACCAAGUUUUUGAAAAUGAACAGCAAGUCUAGUUUCUGAAGAUGAACAGUAACUCCACUUUCUAGAAAUAAACAGUAAUAGUAACUCAUUUGAUCAUUUGAACAUGUGACCAUUUAAAUAUUUUAUCAAUUUAUCAUUUGAUAAUUUGAGUAGGACUAAUAUUUUUUCAUUGUUGUGUUUCUUGUUGCAGUUCUUGAGCAAGGAGUUAGAAAGAGGAAAACUCUGAGUGACCAACAAAAAUAUGCUGCUUAUGUGGCAUUGCACAUAUUAUGUAUGAGUAGAGGUGGAAAGUUCAAGAUAACGGAUAAGAAAAACCUUGCACAUUUUUUUAAUGUAGAAUUGAGGAGUAUACAAAGAGUUUGGCAGAAGGCGAUGAAGCAAAUUUCAGAAGGUUUCGAGGUGGAUGUUUCCAACCAGAAAAAAGGAAAUGUGGAAGAAAACCAAAGGACAUCAACCUAGAGAAAAUCCCUACAAUACCACUCAAUAGUAGGUCUACUAUCAGAUCAUUAGCCUGGCAACUGGGAUGUAGCCCUACCACUCUCCACAGGAAUUCAAAAUGAAGUUGAUAAAGAGGCAUACAAACUGUGUCAAGCCAGCUCUAAAGGAAAAGAAUAAGAAGGAUAGAAUGAAAUUUUGCUUGUCAAUGCUUGAUGAGGCAACAACAAAAACUGCAAGGCCUAAGUUCAAGACUAUGCAUAAUGUUGUACAUAUUGAUGAGAAGUGGUUUACGAUGACCAAGAAGAAUAAAACUUAUUAUCUGCUGGAUGGGGAGGAAGAGCCUACAAGGCCUAUACAUGGCAACUGUAUUGGCAAGGUUAUGUUCUUGACGGGCGUAGCUAGGCCACGGUGGGAUAGUGAAGGAAAUGUGACCUUCUCUGGAAAAACCGAUGAACUCACGAUAAACUGCGUGCGCUCUUUGUCCCAGUUUCAGUUCCCUUGUUCUUGCUUUUCUAUAUCCCGAUGAACUCACGAAUCCAUGAUCCAUGGUCAAUCCCCAAUAUAUAUACUCAAGCAAUAUACUCUCUCAGCAGUAUAUAAUCAAUCAUACAGGAAAGAGUAUCACUCUCUCAGCAGAAUACAUACUCACGAAUCCAUGGUCAAUAGCAGCAUAUACUCCGUGUGGGGAUUAGUCUAGCUCGUAAGCCACGGGUCCAAAUCAAGCAAUAUAUCUACACUAGAAUCUGUAGCAGAGUACACAUCUGACAAAACCGAGAGAUGUGGAGAGGAAGGGGGUAAGAGACGGAAGGGUACCUGGGUGAGGUCGCUGAGGUGGAAGCAGCCGGUGGAGCGGUCGAGGUCGCCGCUAGGGUGUCGCCGGUGCACUGGAGCUCUGCCAACUCGUCCCCAACUCGACGCCCAGCUCGACGCCCAGUCCGGCGCCCAGCUCGAUGCCCAGGUCGACGCCGUCAUUGCUCGGGCUCGGCUUCAGCGCCUCCUUCACCCUGUCCUUGCUCGCCCAGCUCGUCGGCUUCUUGGUCUCGACGAGGCUCCCGCUGAAGUACUCCACCCCCGCCGCCGCAUAGACGAGCAACCCAACUGAGGGCGCCCGCAGCUCCCGCUGAAGUGAUCUGCUAUGUCCAGCACCACUCCGUCAUCCAUAUCCAACAUCGGCGCCCACACCAGCUCUGUCGAUGCAAAACAAACACAUUUUUGACCUUUGAGUGGGAAAGGAAGGAGAGGAAGCACGCAGUGGGAAAGGAAGGAGACAACACACGCGGUGGGCUGUGGGAGGAAGAACGCGGUGGGCUGUAGGAGGAAGAACGGUGGGCUACGGUGGCCGGCGACGACGUAGAGAGGCGACGAGGGAGGGGAAUGAGAGGGUGUGAGAUCUGGGCAGCGAGUGGAUGAGAAUGGGCAGGUGGGGGCAUUUUCGGAAACUCGGAAAGUUUCGUAGUGUCGCGAGAUUUACACUAGAAUCGCUAAAACGUCUUAUAUUUCGGUACAGAGGGAGUACAUUGGAGCAGACCUGUGCAGAUUCGUACUCCCUUCGUUUUUAUUUAUUCUGUAUAUCAGGUUUAUAUAAUGUCAAACCUAAAUCCUUUUAACAAAUUUGUAGAAAAAUAUAUCAACAUAAUCCCUUCAUUUCACAAUUUAGCGCUCGUUCGUGUGCUUUUCGAGAUCUAAGUUUGACCAUACCUUUAAACAAGAAGACCGAUUGCUAUGGGAGCAAAAAUUGAAUCACUGAAUUUGUAUUGAAAUUAAAUACUGAAUUUGUAUCGAAAAUAUAAAUUCAUUGGUAUAAUUUCUGUUGCCACCGCAGUCGGUCUCGUUGGUGAAAUUUAUGGUCAAACUUAGACCUCAAAAAACGCGAGCGCACUACAUUGUGGAACGGAGGGAGUAUACACCAUCAAAUCAAUAUCAUUGGAUUCAUCAUUUCAUAUAUUUUCACAUCAUAUAAAUUUAUUAUUGUAAAUGUUCAUAUCGUUUUCUACAAAUUUCAUCAUACUUUAGAUAGUUUGACUUCAGACAAAACUAAUAUGAGGAGUAAAUAAAAUCAGAGGGGUACCACUCCUAGUAAUUAAUGUGUAUAUCCACUAGCUGCUGAUUGACAUUCAAAUUCUCCACUUGACGAUGGCCAGAGUAUCUGAUAUUCAAACUCUCCACUUGGCCACCUUAUUUCUUCUCCCCAAAUGAGCUAUGAACUGCUCAUUCAUCCAACAUUAAAAUCACUGUGAUGAAACUCUACUCUUUCAGUUUCAUAAUUAGUGCAUAUAGUUUUUCCCCAAAAAACUAAACUUUGACAAAGAUUAUAAAUAAAAAGUCUAUAUCUAGCACAUUGAAUACAUACCAAUAGAUUCGUCAAAAAUAUUUGCAUAUAUUAUAUGAUGGUAUUGUGGAUAUACAUAGAGUUAUCUAUAAACUUGGUCAGAUUUUACAAUGUUUGACUUUUCUAUAAAACCAAUAUGCACUACACUAGGGGAUGGAGGGAGUAUCGUAUGAAAUAUUAUGUGGAAUUAUUCCGUUUCAGACAAUGUUUGGUAUCAAACACAACAGGUACAAUGUUCUAUAGUUUCUCCAAUGUGCAGAAUUAUUAGUUGAAUUGGCAAUUAUUUACAGGAGGGGAGUGCGCUGGUGUGACCGAAAACUAAGUGGAUCGAUGUAUAACAAGCUUCUUUUGGUCGGCAUCAAGACGGUGUUCCUCAUUGUCCGAAUCGAGGACCGGAGUGCAGUAAAUUUUACCAAUCUAUGAUGCGCUCUGGGUGGAUGAAACUGCUCCAAAAGUUGCCCGAGUUCAACGACUCUGUGGUGACCUACGAAUCCGGCGAGCGGCAGAAGUUGCAAGACGUCAGGUAUGAUAUCGUAGGCAACAAUAGUGACCAGUGGAGUGACAUCCUCGACACACCCAAGGGCACCCGCACCUUUAAGCUUCCCUACCCGAUGUACUAAAUCGGCUAGGUUGAAUGCUAGCUAAUCGUCCACGAAUAAGCUCCAUGUUGUUCACUAUCCAUGCUUUGUGAUUACCUUUUUUCCGGGCAUGCUUCCUCAAUACUAAUCCACUAUUACUGCUAGUUUUCUAAUUUCUAUUGAGAAAUCUAUUGCUGCUUGGUUAAAUUCCAUAGUUGGGACCUUGAGUCAGUUACUAGUAUUAAUAAGGUAUGCUACAAAGAAAUUGCAUCUUGCAUAAUCAAUGAAUCGAUGCUCCAUUUUUCCUUGAUUAUAUAAUAUAUGUAGUUUCUAUUUUACACUUUGAUUUAUUUAUUUUUUACUUUUAAUAUUUCCUUUUUUUUCAUUUUCUAGUUUUAUGUUUUAUUUUUUUAUUUGAUCUCCCUUAUGUAUUUAUUUUCUUAUUUUAUUCUUUAGAAUGCUUUCUAUUUGUAAAAAAUAAUGAAUUUUUCCAUACCCUAAUAGUUAAAAACAAUUCCGGGAUAUUAAAAUUACGAUGAACAAGGUCCUAAUAUACGUCGAGAUUUUCCCAAAUACCUGAUGAAUAGUUUUUAUAUGUUUAAGUACAUUUAUAAUUUUGUAAUUACACCAUCAAAUUUAAAUAUAUUUUAAAUAUUUGUUGAAUGCACAAAAAGCAUUUACUAAAUAAUUCGGAACAUUUGCUAUUACAUUGUGAACAUUUCUAGAAUACACAUUGAACAGUUUCCAAACCAUGAUGACUUUUCUAAAUAUGCAUUAUAAAAUUUUCAGUUACACGAACUAAACUGUUUUACCCUGAAUUAUUAUUAUUUUUAAAUUUGUUUUUUCUUAGAAUUAUAAAUAAAAUUAAAUUGAAGUGUUUCAGAGUAUAAAGGACAGAACGGGUAAAAACAAUGACAGAAAAAAUAAAAAUUGCAUUGGGUCGGGUCAUUGUGGAAUACUAUGGGCGAGCCCAAAGGAGUGUUCAUUACUGGUGAAUUAUAGUAGCAACGUGAGGGAAAGUGUGCUUCUCAGCCCGAGCUCAAAUGAGCUCUGGUGAACAGUAAAAUCCAAAAAUAAUUAAAAAAAUAUGAAAUUGUUUGGUGAAAGAAAUUGAAAAUAGUCGUAACUGCCUCCAAAAUUGUAUUAUGAAAUAACAUUUAUUGAAGCCAUGGAGAAAACAAAAUCGAUACUCCAAAAUGCUUUUGAAAUUAGUAUUUUCAGAGUAUCGAUUUUGUUUUUUUGCCACAUGUCACACAAAUGUGAUUUUCUGAUGAAAUCUUGCAAGAUAUUAGAACUUUUGCCAAUGUUUAUCACAAAAAAAAAUAGAUUUUUCUGGAUUUUUUUAAUUUAGUUUUGAUUUUACUGUUCAUCAAAGCUCAUUUGAGCUCGGGCUGAGAAACUCCACAUCCCAACGUGAGCGCCUAUUUGGUGUCGUGCUCAUUUCUGGUAGCCGACAAACUGAGUGGUUUUGUGCGUGACGUAAAAGACACAAAACAAUCAGGGCACUUCGAAGGAAUCAACGUUGUGUCCUUUCACAGGGAAUGCGUGAUGCUAGUUGCUGGCCACUCGUGCCAACAAUUUUUGCUAAUAGAAACACAACAACAAUGUGCAGGAAAUUACUGCAGCGGUGAAUUCCAAAUAUUUUCUAAAGUACACAAAUAUUUCAUCAAAUCUGAACGUUUUUUGAAAAAUCACAGUAUUUUUAAGAUGCCCAAUAUUUUUUUUAACUUUUCAGAAUAUUUUAAAUUUCAAACUUUUUUUUUAAAUUGCCAAACAUGUUUUGAAUUUGUGGACAAAACUUUUGAACAGAGAAACAGUUUUACAACAUCUGAAACCUUUUUUGGAACGCAAUAAGUUUUUCCAAAUUUCCAAGCAUUUACAGAAAAUGGAACAUAUAUUGACCAUUUCCAAACAUUUUUCAAAAACAUGAAUACUUUUUGAUUUAUGAACAUCAUUUCAAAACAGGAACAUUUUUUGAUAAUUCUGAACUAUGUUAGAAAAUGCGAACAAUUUUUGGACGUUUGUUGAGAACCCAAUCAUUUUUAGAAGAAAAACAAUUAUUAAAGUUUCAGACAUUUUUUUACUUGUGAAGUAAUGACCAAAGAAAACCAUAAAAUGUAAAACAACCGAAAAUAAGGAAAAAAGGAAAGAAAAAGUUGAAAAAAAUAAAAAUAUGAAUAAUAAAAAAUAAUAAAUUCUGGAAAGCAGUGAAAAAUAAAUCACAAAACGGAGACCAGUUUAUACGUCCUGCUGCUAUAUGACAAAGUAAAAAAUCUAAAAAGAAAAUCCCACAACAAAAGCUAUUUGACAUACCGAGCGUCAUAUAGAAAAUUCAAACAACAACCACCACAGAACGCUGAUACAGAUGACGGGCAGGUGGAUGUUUCUCAGAAUCAGAUUUUGAAGAAUCAUGAGGCGAAAAGAACUGGUGCCUGCAAUCGGCCGUGGCAUGUACACAGGUGCUAGUAAUGAUAUAAAUCACGGAUAUUGAUUUUGAAGGUCGAGCUCCAUGGAGGUCUUUGAAUGCAAAAUUCAAAAUUCAUGAAAAUAUUUUUUUUUUAUAUUUCGAAAAAUUCCGUAACAAAUACAGAGAUAGAUGAAGGCAUAAUACACAAGUGUGUAAAUUUUUAGGACCAAAUACGUUGAAAUAAGGCUGUACAAAAAAGGCAAAUCUGAGGUUGUUUAACACAUGAUACUAUUCAUCCUCUCGGAACAUGAUUUUAUAUUUUUAUACAGGUUGCAUUUCAACGUAUUUCAUCCUUGUUUAGUUUUAUAAUUGUUUUCAAAAAAUCUGAGGAUGAGGCAUAUGUCUCACAUCCUUGUUUAGUUGUAUAAUUGUUGUAAGAUUUUUUUUUUAAUUUUGAACUUUUCAAAAAAUCGGCCUCGGCCAAAACGCCUUUCUCUAUAAAUCGUGAUUUGUAUACUGGUAAGAAGAAUGAAGCAAUGCAUAUUCAACUAAACAAACUACAUAUUGUCUUGAAUUCACUCAUUUGGAAUCUAGCUAGAAAGGGUGCUUUUUAGGUGCCCAGAUUUUUUAAUUUUUUUGAGGGAAGUGACGAGGUUCUUGGGAAGAAAAGAUUUAACAGAUUCAUUGGUUUUCACAAAGAGAGCAAAUCAAUAUGAGCGCAGAAGCAAUCGAGUUUUGCCAUUAUUAAGCAACAACAUGACAUACAUGAUACAACUAGAGGUACAUAUAGCUAAAUUAGCGGAAGCCCUUUGUAUUGGUACUGCUCGCCGAGCUCCGCGAGCAGAUCGUUUUCCGCCUUGAGUAUGUCGCCCAUGUUGUCCAGCAGGAGGUACUUGUCCAGCGAGAAGCCCGACUCCGGCGAGAUGAGCGCCGCGACGUUUCUCAGGAACUCCUCGUCUAAUGGGGCAAGGGGCUCCCACUUUUGUCCCGACGUCAGCAGCGGCUUCUGAGGUCGCCGCCUCACGACCUUCAUUUUCUUCUUCUUCAUCGUCAUCCUCCUCUUCUCCCCUCUUGCGGGCGUCGGCGACUUCGCCCCCGCCUCCGUGUUCUCACACGAUGAACUCGCCAUGAUUCUUCUCCCGUCCUUCUUCCGCUGAGAAGAUUGGUCUGCUCUGCUGGUUUCGCAGACUUGCGUGCUCGCCGGCACCGGUAUAAAUACAGCAAAAAUAAGAGAUCGAUGAUUCAUUUCUUGGCUAGGGGAGCAGUUCGUUGUAUCCGACUCGUAUUCAGUCCACGGUUCCGGUUCCUACUCCCGCAUGGUCGACGCAUCGGUUGGGAUCCUAAUUGGGACGGCCCAAUGGUAGGUUAUUUUAUAGUAUUUUUAUGUAUAUUGUCUAUAAGGACGUUACUGCAUCAAAAAGAAAAGUAUAAUGGCUCUGCAUCUAGUCUAGUUGCUGAAGCGUGUGCGUCGAACAGCUUCCCCAUCGCUUAGUGACAGUUCAUGAAAUCGUGUGCGAUGACCAUUUCUAUGGAUUUUUUUUGCAUGAUAAUAUGUGUCUCAUUUAUAUCAUAAUGAAAAUAAUACAAGACCAUUGUUGUGGAUUAUAACAACACAUAUACACAGCCAAAUACAAACCCUACGGUCUUGGUCACAAUAUAGUGGUACAGGUGUCCAUUAGGACAUAUGUCCGUGUGUUGCAACGGAAAAAAAAUUAAUUUGUAUUUGCAAGCACAACACGUCAUGCUCCGCUACGAAAGAACGCUAGUUACCACAUGACCAAAACGACCAUCGAUGCAUCACUACAUCCAGAGAGUGUCACCACCUGCAGGGAGGCGCACGUCAAAGCCUUCAACAAACGCGGGGACUAUGUUACUCCCUUUGUCAGACAUUAUUAGGCUGGUGGACCACUUAGCCUCAGCCGGACAUUAAUCAUGAAGUGAGCCUUAGCGCAGAUGGUAAAGAUAUCUUCAACGUGACGAUGUGGCGUUGUGGCUCCCUGGCCCAGAUCUUCCCACCAAUGAAUAGUAAAAUCGACAAAAAAUAGAAAAAAUGAUUUUUUUUUUUGGAGUGCAAGAUGUUCCUUUGGGUGAUGUCAAAAACUGCUUGGAGCUGAUUUUUAUUUUUUUUUGCCAGACGCUCCUCGAAUGUCCAAAUACCUCGAAAUUUUGCAGACAUUUUAGCAUCUUAUGAGCCAAAAAGGAUUCAGAUUUUUUUGAUAUUGUGCUUUUCACCGGAUGCAGAUGAGCCGGGGACCAUUUUGAUUAUUAUUAUGGCUAAUCUAGUUUAAAUGUGUCAUUGUUCAUGUAGCCCACAAUCAUUUUUUCUUUUAUUGUUUGAACACACCACGUCCUUCAUUUCUUUUAAAGGUUUCCUUGCAUGUCUGCUCGUCGUGCAGUUCAUUCCUUUUAAUUGUCAUUCCUUUUAAUUGUCCGCUUUUAGCAUCCAUUUUUAACUGUCUUGCUGAUAUUCCAAGCAAACCGCAAGGUAUAUAAACCGGUAGGGAUCUAUCUAAAGAGGCAAGGUGGGUUUAUUUAACAUAAAAUAUUGAUGUCGAGUUAUUUUUAAAAAAACAGCCUCAACUUUAUUAAUUAGAGAUAAUUGUUACAUCGUCUAUUAAAAAAGAUACAAUAUUUUCCAAAGGCUCCUCAAUCCACUCACUCGUAUCAGAACUCUUUGCUAAUCUAGCAAGCUCAUGUGCUACUUCGUUCGCUUCUAGUAAAAAAAAUUCAGAAGCCAUAGAAAAACAAUCCUCAAAGGUUGCAGCCGCCGCUCCCGCAUAGUACCCUCCCUUGUUCAUUGUUUCAAUUACUUCCGAGAAUAUUGAUGUAGAGUUGGUUAGUGCAGUUGCCUUACCCUGGACAUGGAGUAUUGAGUUUAAUCUUCCAUAAAUACAUAUUUUUGUACACGUUGUUCGUGGCCCAUGGCAGACGGCCCAAUAUUGUAGCGAAGCCCAGCAGUGCAGCAACCUGACAUGGUACGAUAGAUGGUGAGGUGUAUGCGUGCUAGCAACGUAAGAAAACGGCCAGGGAGAGGCAAUGUAUGUACAAUAUUUUUAACCAUGGAUUCAAGCUCGUAAAAUUUUGAGACUUUUCCAUAAAACUGUAUGACAGACUAAGAAUACAUAUUUUCUUAAUUAGUAGGUAUAGAUGCGGCAAGUGGAUUGUUUCCUGGUUUUGGGAAGUUUCCAUAAGCUUUUCAGACGGUUUUUCAUUUUUUCUAUUUUGGGGUUUUCCUGUACCAAUCUUGUCUAUUUUUUAUUUUCUACUUAUUUUCAUUUUGCUUUAUUGCAUAUUCUUUUACUUUUUUUCAUUUUCCUUUUUCUAUUUAAUUUUGGCAAAACACGAAUUGUUUCAAUUUUAUGAUACUUUUUUUAAUUGAGGAACUCCUUUUCGAACUCGUUUUUUCAAGUUCAUCAUUAUUAUUUUUUAAAAUUAUCACCUUUUUAAAAAAUAUAUGAACUAUUUUUAAUGUUUGUGAACGCUGUCUCAAAAUUGAUGAACUUUUUUCCUAAAUGCUGAAGUUUAUUUUAAAACUGAUGAACUUAUUUUAAUAUUUGAUGAUCUAAUUUUAAAACCGGAGAAUGUUUUUGCAAAAUAGACGAACUGUUUUUCUAGCAUAUGUACCUUUUGAAAAUUCAUGAACUUUUUUUCAAUUUUUGGGCUUUUUUUAAAAGUUGAUGAGCUUUAUUCAAAAUCGUGAAAUAUUUUCCAUCUAUGUGCAACCUCUUUUUUCAAAAUCAUGAACAUUUUCGAAUUGAUGAACUAUUAACAGAGAUUAUACGCAUGACCUUUUUUGAAUUCGCAAACUUUUUGUUGAAAUAUCUGCAUUCUAUUUGAUUUUCUGAUUAUUAUUUUCAAGCUAGCGAGCGUGCUCGUGGGCUCACCCAUGCUAGCAAUGGUGCGAGCUGGCACUGGCGCAAAACGCGUCAAUUAGGAAGAGCAACUAAUUAAGGAGUACUCGUCCGAGAGCCUCUCGAAGGGUCCAUUGCCACGUGUCGUACUCUUGGUGUUUCCUUUGGAUUUUUUUCUAUACAUAUUUAUGUCUGGAAUUUUGGCUUUAAGAUGAUUUUGUUUUCCGGGUUUUUUUGGCUUUUCCGUUUACCCCCGAUUUUUCUUACAAUUUAGACCCAAAAAUAAGAUUUUAAAGAAAAAUCACAAAAAAAUGCAUUUUCUCUUUCUUUUUUCCUACCCUGAGAGACAUGGAUUUGCUUCUCUUAGAGGCACAUGUGCCUCCUGAAAAAGCAAAAAAAAUGUUUUUUCCUUCCGCGAGGCAAGGUCGUGCCUCUCAGAAAAGAAAAAAGAUCCAUUUUUCCUUUCACGGAAGUACGGAUUUGCUUCCCUGAAAGGCCUAGUCGUGCAUCUUGAAAAAGGAAAAAUGCAUGUUCUCAUGAAGGAAAACAACGUGGUUUUAGUUUGGUUUUUUUGUUUGAUUUUUUCGUGAAAAAAAGUCCAACGAAACAUAUCAACAUGUGGUCUAGUUUUUAAGAUCUCGACGCAUGGAAUCUAACGGCAAAACCAGUUCUAGAUUUGGACGUAGGUUUUGAGAGAUAAAAUGUUUUGAAUAAACAAAUCUGCGAAAAAGGAAAAACCCUUAGGUUGCUACAAGUGACGCACAUGCAGUUGAAGACUUGUCGCACCCUGGGUUGGGGGAGUGAUCUUUGCCAAGAGUAGUUUUCAAUUAGUGAUUUCGCUAAUUAGAAGCUCGCAUCAUCUCCGAUGCGAGCACUAGUGGAUCAGCCCAUGUGCGCUCAUAUGGGUUUUUUGGAGCGGCUUUUGGAAGCUUCUAUGGAGCUGUUUAGACAAAUUUGAAAACCUUUCAUUCAUUUUUUAUGUGUUCACUAUAUAGAUUUACAUGGACUAAAGUAAAAUGUAGAUUUACAUUAUUUUUUCCCUUAGUUUUCUUUGUGUGUUUUUAUUCAUUUUUUGAAUACACAUGGAAUUUUUGGAAAUACAGUUCGAAUAUUUUUUGUUUACAUGUUAUUUCUUUUAUACACGUUGAUGAUUUUUGUAGACACAUUUAAGUGUUUUCCAAAAUAAACAGUAUUGAUUUGUCAAAUGAACAUUGGAUUUCUUAUGAAUAUAAGGUGAACAUUUAUGAAACACCCAUUGAACAUUUAGAAAAAUUCCAUGAACAUUUUUUUCUUAAAGCAUGCAAAACAGUUCUUAAUGUUAGAACAUAUUUUUUAAUGUCAAAGACAUUUUUGUUGAAUGGUACAAAAUAUUAUUUAAAAUUACAAGACCAUUUUUACAUACUAGAAACAGUUGUGGAAAAUGUUAUGACCAUAUUUUUGAAACGGCUGAAUAUUGUUUAAAUUUCAUAAAUAUAUUUAGAAUGGUAUGUCAAAAGUUUAAAAAUAUGUGAAUAUUGUUUCUACAUUGUAUAAAAAAUUUAAAAACUGUCAUGAACAUAUUUCUGAACACAUGAACUAAAUGUCAGGAACAUUUUUCGAAUGGUACAAACAUUUUUAAAAUUGUGGAGACAAUUUAUUACACUACAUGAACAUUUAUUUGAAACACGCAAUGAACAAGGGGUAAGGGACACGUGUCAUGUGCUUUGCUAGCGCAUCGUGGUUGCUGAGUGUCUCAUUCCUUUGUUGUUGAGUUUUGUUUUAGUGCGGAGUGUUUUUACAGUAUACUCGAGAAAGAUCCUACGUUACGAAGGAUGUGUUUGGUAGGCGUUUCUAGCGGGACUGGCUCGUGGACAUUGGCUCAACAAAGUUUGGUUGAGAUAAAACGAUCAUAAAACUAACAUCUGCAUUUAGUUUGGUUGCCGGCAUACAUUCUAAACUGAAUGGGGUGUCAUGAAAGACAUACUAUUUGGUUGUCUGUUUGUGUAUGCGCAAACACAAGGCCUACUAUUUGGCUGCAUGCAACACUUGUUGUGAGAUAACCUCUUCGAUGCGGUGGUGAGGUUACCAUCACAUAGCGGCGUCAGGAAGAACACACAACAUAACAUAGUAGUAAGCAGUUAUAAAUAUUGUGUCACAUUUAAAUAGAUUAGUUUAAAUGCAAAGCAGUUCAAUAUUAAACUAAAGCAACUAGAGCAUAUGAGCGGUUGUCCUAGACGUUCACAACGAAGGCAUCGUCAUGUCUCCCGCACCAGGCCACCACUUUACUGCCAUCGUCAUUGAAGACGAUGACCUUCACCAUGUCGGGAGUCAUCAACUGUGACCAUGAAGCCUAUCUUGAUUUGUUGGACGGCGACGAAGGUGGCCCAAACCUGGUCGAGGGUGACCCUUUCGUUCAACAGACGGACAAUGACCCUCCUAGAGCACUCGGUGUUCGCCUUCAAAUUGAACUCCUGUGGCAUAGACGGGAAGUGCUUCAUGAAGUCGAGUGGCAUAGGUAUGGCCUCGAGUGGCAUGAUUACCUUGCAGAAGUUAUUUGGCUCACCCAUCUCAUGGUAGUGGUCGUAGUUCUGACGCUUGUCGCUGGGGGGCUCCUCCGCGUAUCGUUGUCCGUGACCGGGCUCUGGACAGGCGCCACCUUUGAGGGCGGCACAACAUCCUUGCACUUGUAUUGCUCCUUUGGUGGCACCACCUCAUUGCCCUUGUUCUCCGUGUCGAUUUGCAGUGUGAAGAGGUUCAAACGAUUGGGUCAGGAUUUGCAAUAUGAACAUUGCAUCAUUGUCAUUAACUUAUUGUCGAGAACCCCAUUAUUUACCUAGGCUGAUGGUUACCACUUACCCACCACCUAGUUGUUUGUCUCUCUUCCUCCAACCCAAUGCCAUGAACUCUAAGAACAAGUCUAACCCCAUCCGCAACCCCUUUCCUUGGGGCAUUGGAUGGAGGGCCUUCUUCCUAGGGUGCUCGCUCGAUGACCGCACCAAGUUUGAGAACACCAUGAAAGUGUGUUCAAACUUCAACAGCUUGGAGGAGCAGUACAAAGAGUAGGACGCUAUGGUGAAGAAGGCGAGUCGGAGGAGUUGAAGACGCUGAUCAGUGACCCAAUGAAGGGUUCUAUGUGAGCCGACAUACUUCAUUGAGCCAUGAAUCAAGCCGUCCCCGGCGACGCUGGACAGAGGGAAAACUGAGCCAAGUACAGACAGCAUCGGUGUUCUUAUGACCACGGGGCCGCAACGUACUUCACCACAAAGAUUAUGGUGGUGCCGGUGGAGGAGCAUCAAGAAGUGCUGGCUAUGGAGGUGGAAGAGGAAGAUGCAGUGGCGACGAUUGUGAGGGCGCUGGAGCUAGGACACCUAAGCAUGCCAAUCAAGUUGGACUCCGGCGAGGAAGAAGAUAUGGUGGUGUAGGUCGAGGAGAAGACCAAGGCCAAGGCUACCCACCGCUCCAAUCGCCUCCAGGGUCCUGUGUACUAUGUAAGAUGAACCCUAAUCCCCAUUCCGAUUGUACUCAAUCCUGAUUGGGAACCUCAUAUCUACCCGUAGUCAUGACGAUGUUAUGACCACUCCUAUGGUGUUUACCCCGAUUCCCCAUUCUCCUAACAUGGAUCGAACCUAAACUCGGAUCAAAUGCAAAGUAGUACAUGAGGAGGGGGGAAAGUGCUUACCGCCAUUGCCGAAGUGCUGCUGUGGAUGCCGGUGAAGAGGCCGGAGUCGAUUUGCUGUUCCUCGAUCUGAUGCACGCCAUCGCCGCCGUCGGUGAGAGUAGGGAGAGUGGAAAGAGAGCGGUGAGAAAAGGUAAGGGUAAUGACUGUCGACGCUUCGGGAAACAACGCGGCUUCUCAAGGGUGGCUCCCCUUGUGCAACCCCUGCCGCCCACGUGCAUCGCAGAGGCCUGGCUCGCGAGAAACUACCAAUUCGAACGUGCCUCGCGAGACAUACCCAGACAUGCUUUAAAGUUCGUGACAUGCAGGCCCAACAAUGUAUGUUGACAACCAAUCAGUUUGUUUUCUUUCCACGGGCCUGGUUGGACCUUAUGCGGGCAACCAAACGCAUCCCCAAGUGUUGUUUAUUUGUCGGAAUUUUCUAAGGUACUGGGCAAACGACAUGUGUACUGAGUGCCCAUGAAAUUACACCAGGCAAACUGUAAAAUACUCAGCGUAAUUUUUUUCCUGUAGUUGUACAAUUGGCUGCGCUGCAGUUCCAAAUUUGAUAAAGUUACAAGGUUGGUGUACCAGAAAUUCAUUAUCUACCAAUCAUCAAUAUGUAUGCACAAAACAGUUGCCUGUCUGGGCCUUUGUAUCAACGUCCAUCCAUGUGUAACACGUUCAGCGGAACCGUCUACCAAACGUCUGACAGACACAGACACGUGCAUAUCCUCCAAACCGGGCAGGCUGGUUGCUUGCGCCCUCGUCGCUUUCUUGUCGAACUGGCUCCAUAUAUAGACUAAUGCACACCACAGUUCAAUUUCCAUUUUCGUUUCAGUCAUCGUACAUAUGACUGCAUUAUUCAGCUAACGUUUAAGCAUAGGGAUUUUUAUUUUCAUGUCCCGUCUUUCUUAGUUAUGAUUAGUUUUGCCCCGUUCAUUUAACAUUGCUCACUUUUUUCCCUUCUUUACUCAUCUACGCCUCGUAAAAGAUCAAACGGUGUGUUGACAUUGGGUUAGACCAGGGGCGGUCCUCAGAUUUUGGGGGCCCGGGGCUGGAUUAAAAGCCGGGGCCCUUAAUAUAGACAUAAUAACAAUAACACUGAAUAUACGUACCGGUGAAAUAUAAACACUUAAAUACGUCUAAUACUAAUAUGCAUAUCAAAUGUUUUAAAAAUAUUACCUCAAACAAUAAUUCUGACAUACCUUGAUGCAAAGGCCAUUAUGAUGGCGUCGAUGUUAAUAGCGUCCAAUAAUUUCUUCUCGAUGACAUAAUGUCACCAGACCAUAUAAACACUCUUGGUUCAUCGGUGACCUCACAUAGUUCUUCAAUCAAUAUUUCCAACUUCAGAGAGCUUCUUCCGACCAAUACGAUAGUCACAGGCAUAGUAAAUAGGAUGCAAUAAGCAAUGGAAAUAUCAGGAUAACAGCCAACUUCUAUUGACAUGCUGCAAAUCUCCAUUGCAGAUAUUACAGUCAUAUGGCAGAAUGAAUCCCACAAUUUUUAAUUUAGAAGUAAGAUCAUACUCCCUCCGUUCCUAAAUAUAAGACCUUUUAAAGAUUGCACUAUAAACUAUAUAGGAUGUACAUAGACAUAUUUUAGAAUAUAGAUUCACUCAUUUUGCUCCGUAUGUAGUCUCCUAGUUGAAUCCCUAAAAGGUCUUAUAUUUUAAAACGGAGGGAGUAUAUCUCAACAUCAUGAUACACAAUGCUGACAAAUAACAUUAAUUGUUGAACAAUAUCGAUGUACCGGCGAUGCAUCUACAGAAGCACAAUAAGAAUAUAUGAUAUACGUACCUCGGAUGGCUGAAUCAGCCAUGACGGAAAAUCAAAGCCGGAUUAUAGGACGCCCCGACGAAUUGAAAUCGACGGCGCGCAGCUGAUGAUCUAAAUUAGGAAAGAAAUUAGGUUUGGGAGAAAAGUAGAAAGGAGGGUCGAGCACGCAGUGGCGAACAGACGAUGCGUCGGCGGCCGCUAGGAAUCGCUGCGUCAAUGCGAGAUGGAAUAGGAAGGGAUCAAUCACUCCUAUUUUUUCGUGAAAAAACGGAAGGAACGGUUGCUGCCUUUGUGCCUCGCUGGACUGCUGGGUGCAUGUUUGCCUGCAUGCUACGUGAGGCCCAGUCAACCAACCCGAUAGGUCAUUUUUUUCUGAUCUGUAAAAACAUUAAAUAUGUUUGGACAAAGCCUAUGUACAUACGUGGGGAGGGCCCCCUAAACUUUGGGGGCCGGGGCGGCCGCCCCCCCCUGCCCCUCCCCUCGGCCGGCCCUGCGGUUAGACUACCAACAAUGAAAGUAACAUAGGUGGUAACAUAGAUAUCAUCUAAACAACAAAUGUGAUGUGGCAACUAAUUAAAGAAAAGUAAGAGAAAUUGAAUAACUUAGCAUGUUACUCAUAUUAGGAGUAACAUAGCGGAUACCAAGGCAAGAUGGGUGUAUAGGCUAAUAAAUAAAAGACUCAAUGUUACUACCCCUAUGUUACUAUCCACUAUGGAGGUAGUAACUUAGAUUAGUAACAUAUGUAUGUUACUCCCCAUUGGUCUUUCAGCGGCGUUCAGAGACUCCUUCAUAUUAUUAGACAUAAUUAUGUCUAGAGACACAACACACGAGGCUAUACGUAAAUCACCCUUAGAAUACCAGCGAGCUCUCGUUUAACCUACGGACCCGAUGGGCCAUGUUAAGACUGGUAUGAAUACCAGCAAGCUCGCUGACAAGGAUCCGACGACUCCAUUACCCCUCGCAUCGCUUAGAGAAAAAACCCGAUACAAGUCACCCCCUUGACUUGAUCUGGAAUUAUCUGCGAGAUGCCAUCUAUGCUCUCAUCUAUCAACAAUUUCAACACAUGUUCUGCCGGAGUUUUGGUGCUUGGAAACCAUGAGCAAACCGCUUGUCACUUCUCCCGUGAGAGAGCGUCACCGGCACAGAACACCUCCAAUGGUUUCGUGAUUGCCGAUGGCGGCUGCAGGAUUGGGGGAGGUAGGCUGCUCGGGCUGCGGGGGAUGCGAAUUGAGAGAGAGAGAGAGAGAGAGAGGGAGGGAGAGGGAGAGGAAGAGAGAGAGAGAGAGAUUUCGUCCCCCUUUUUAGGACAAAUGACCCAACCAUCCACUAGCCGGUCCCACAUGUCAGCAUUUCAUGUCAGUCCCAUGCGUCCACGCGUCAACACCGGACGAAGUAACGGUCAACAGUUUUGACCCGACGGUGAGGCAUUGUUUGGCCUUUUGCGAGACGGAGGCGAGUAGAGGAGGGAGAAAAGUGAGUAAUGUUAGACGGACGAGGCAAACUGAGCACAACUAAGUAACGAUGGACGAGGCAACUUACGUAAAACCAGCUACAAUUAUAAUAGCUUUCGAUGUACACCCGUGUGAUCACCAGCCAUCUAACAACCUUUGCCGACAGUUGUCCUUCAUCCACAAAGACAACAUCAUCCAAAUAAUUCACUUGCAAUCCAGGUUUCUCUAUCAUCUCUUUGGACAUUGUGAUAUUUACUAAUUCCCGAUCCAGAGGUCUCAUACGCCAUGGCGAUGUCAUGACCAGUCUAGGAGAAGAAGCACCUCGUAAACUAGAGCGGAACAGAACCUGGGUUUUCUAGGCAUGGCCUCUCGAUAAGAAGUUGAGAAGAUUAUGGCUGAUACAUGGUGAGAUAGGAUGAGGUGUCUACGCUGCCAUACGACAAAACCCUAGUAACAGGGGAUGCUUUAUCUGUGUUAUUUUUUAAUUAAAUCACAUGAAUAAUUGGCCGUGUGUAUGUAAUUCUAUAUUAAUAUAAUAGGACACAAAGAGGCAGGUCCAUAUCAUCUCGGCCAACAAAUCUAAGAUUUGAUGGUUCAUGUUGAGCACCAAGAGACGAAAACCGCUCGCGUCGCCUCCAGGGGGCGACACGGGCGCCCUAGCCGCCGUCGCCCUCGACCUCCCUCCUCCCCCGCUUCCCCGCCGUUGCCGGAGGAGGCCGGCGAGCGAAGCUCGCCCGGCGGACGACGGACGGCGGGCCUUCCUCCCUUCUUCACGAGGGGGUCCUUUGGCUGAGAUGCGACGGCGCCCCUGGGGGUACAACAUGGAGGCGGAGUUGGCGUGCUCGGGCGGCGUGGGAUCCCGGCGGCGCUGCGGGGGCUGGCGGCGGCGGAUCUGGGGUUCCCCACCCCAGAUCGGUUCUCCUCCGGGUGGUCGGGCUCAGGCGCCGUCCAGCGGCCCUAAGCGGUGGUGGACGCGCGCGUUGACUGUCCUCCUUCACAGAUGUGAUUGGAAACGACAGGAGGUGUUGGCGUGCUGCUAGAUCUGAACAAGGUGAUGGCGUCAUCCCCUUCAUCAGGGAUGACGACCAGGUGGUGGGUUCUUGUGGCGUCGCCGGUGGCGGCGGAUCUUGGGAUCCAGUUCCCGGGGACGUCGUGGGAUGUGGUGGCCCGUGCAGGAGAGAUGGGUUCUUCGAACAGAUCUGGGUCAAAGCUUGCUUUCGGCUAUUGCUAAGGUCGGCGAUGGCGGCGCUGUCUACAUCGUUCCCUUCCUGAAGGCAUCGCCGAGGAGAACUUCAGGGCCACUCUCUGCUACCUCCUGGGGUAACCCUAGAUCAGUAGAUCGGAUGACGGCGACGCUCUGGUGUCAUUUCCCCCUUGGGGGCGUCAUUCAUGGUGGUACACACGGGCUCGAGGGACCAUUGGUCGGCAUUUACGAUGGAGCAGCGUUCCUAGUGACACAUCGACGUUGUGGAGUCUCGGCGGCGAGGCGCGGCAAAGUCUCGGCAAUGAAUGCAUGAUGAUGAGCACGCGUAGGGAGGAGGCGUUGUCUGGCGCCGUGGGGGCAUCGAUGGCAGGCCUUGCAAGGUCGAUGCGUCAGUAAUUUUUCUGAAGAUGGAUUGAUGGAAGGCGGCGACGACGACCUAUGAGGGUGCGUCGGACCGUUUGUGCCCCUGACCCGGUAUGUGGCUCUGUCGGGGCCUCCGGCUUUAGAUGUUAGGCUAGGUGAGAGGUCUGGGUAUGUGGCUCACACUUUCUGCACCCCCUUCAUCAUUGUAUAUGAGUAGCGACAGAUGUUGCCAAGAGGACGGCUUCAGACAUACGCUUAACACUCUAGCUAAUUGACCACCAGUAGCACGGGAGAGGUGUUUUGGCUCCCGGGUAUAUGCACUCGGAUGAACAGUACUGCGAAAAAAGUUCUAAUUUUUUUUGUAGAUGAUUGUAUUAGUGUCGCAAAUAUGCAUGACAAUUUUCGUGCGAUAAGGAGCAACGGUGUUUCAUCAGCAAAAAAGACAAAUUUAGGAUGACAUUUUGGGGUAACUUUUGGUGUUCAAUUUGUUUUUCUUGCACAAACCAAAAUGUUUUAUCUUUUUGUCUCAAAAUUUACAAGUAGUAUUUGGAUGUGACAAAGCAUACAAACAAAUUUUGUCUCAUUUUUUUCCAUUUCAAACUUUUUUUUGGCCCCGAAAGCAUAUGCCGGGAGCCGAAUUGCAUUUCCGCCGGUAGCACUAGUUACAUACACACUAGACUCCGCGCAAUCCCAUGAAAUCUGUUUGGCGAUUAACAUACGGCUAAAUAUCAACAUGCAAAUAUUAUCUUACCAAAUGUACCAAAUGUGUAACUAGUAUCUUAAUUCUACUCCCUUCAUAAACUAAUAUAAAAACAUUUAAAAACAAUGCUUUAGUAAUCUAAACGCUUUUAUUUAAUUUACAAAAGGAGUGCUACCUAAUAUCAACAUGCAUUGCACCAACUCCCUUCAAGGUCUAAUGCGUUUUUAGGGUUGCCCUUGACUAUUGAUAAGAUUAAUAAUAUAUGAGAUCUAUGAUAAAGAGUCUUUUCACAUCCGAAUUUGACAAUAUACCUGUAACAUGCAAGUUAUAUAUAUAUAAUUGCUCUAACCCGUGGCCAAAGGAAAUCUUGCAAAAUGUAUCGGAUGAAGGGAGAACAUGAUAAUACCAGUCUAACAAAUAUAUCCUCUCCAAUCGCAAACAUUUAUCCCCUUGGAUCACAACCAUGCAUACCCCUUUUGAGUACUCCCUCCGUCCCAAAAUUAAUGUCGAGCAUGUAGUUCAUUGGGAAUUUUGCAAAAAAAAACCUCGUAUUUACAAAAUCGUCUCAAACAAGCACCUCCACCCCUAUCUUCUUCGUCCGUCCUCGCCCGUGCAUCGCGAGAGGCCGCGCCGUCGAACUGGAAGGGCUCCGCCGCCGUCGCCGCCAAUUACCUCCUCCAUCACCACAACCCAGAUCUGCGCCACCGGAUCUCUUCCCGCUGCAGUUACCUGUCGGCGUCGUUCUCGAGCUCCUGCCGGCGUCGGAACCUUCCGCCACUUCGUCCUCUGGCUCCCAUGCGUCAUCCUCGAGCUCCCGUGCAUCCUCCCCAAGCUCACGCGCAUCCUCGCUGGAAUCUCUACUGCUCCUUCUCCCUUGCAGCCGGUGUGCCUGCUUAUCCCCUGUCACCGGAGGAGCUCCUCUGCACGUACUUGUUGGAAUUAUGCCCUANNNNNNNNNNNNNNNNNNNNNNNNNNNNNNNNNNNNNNNNNNNNNNNNNNNNNNNNNNNNNNNNNNNNNNNNNNNNNNNNNNNNNNNNNNNNNNNNNNNNNNNNNNNNNNNNNNNNNNNNNNNNNNNNNNNNNNNNNNNNNNNNNNNNNNNNNNNNNNNNNNNNNNNNNNNNNNNNNNNNNNNNNNNNNNNNNNNNNNNNNNNNNNNNNNNNNNNNNNNNNNNNNNNNNNNNNNNNNNNNNNNNNNNNNNNNNNNNNNNNNNNNNNNNNNNNNNNNNNNNNNNNNNNNNNNNNNNNNNNNNNNNNNNNNNNNNNNNNNNNNNNNNNNNNNNNNNNNNNNNNNNNNNNNNNNNNNNNNNNNNNNNNNNNNNNNNNNNNNNNNNNNNNNNNNNNNNNNNNNNNNNNNNNNNNNNNNNNNNNNNNNNNNNNNNNNNNNNNNNNNNNNNNNNNNNNNNNNNNNNNNNNNNNNNNNNNNNNNNNNNNNNNNNNNNNNNNNNNNNNNNNNNNNNNNNNNNNNNNNNNNNNNNNNNNNNNNNNNNNNNNNNNNNNNNNNNNNNNNNNNNNNNNNNNNNNNNNNNNNNNNNNNNNNNNNNNNNNNNNNNNNNNNNNNNNNNNNNNNNNNNNNNNNNNNNNNNNNNNNNNNNNNNNNNNNNNNNNNNNNNNNNNNNNNNNNNNNNNNNNNNNNNNNNNNNNNNNNNNNNNNNNNNNNNNNNNNNNNNNNNNNNNNNNNNNNNNNNNNNNNNNNNNNNNNNNNNNNNNNNNNNNNNNNNNNNNNNNNNNNNNNNNNNNNNNNNNNNNNNNNNNNNNNNNNNNNNNNNNNNNNNNNNNNNNNNNNNNNNNNNNNNNNNNNNNNNNNNNNNNNNNNNNNNNNNNNNNNNNNNNNNNNNNNNNNNNNNNNNNNNNNNNNNNNNNNNNNNNNNNNNNNNNNNNNNNNNNNNNNNNNNNNNNNNNNNNNNNNNNNNNNNNNNNNNNNNNNNNNNNNNNNNNNNNNNNNNNNNNNNNNNNNNNNNNNNNNNNNNNNNNNNNNNNNNNNNNNNNNNNNNNNNNNNNNNNNNNNNNNNNNNNNNNNNNNNNNNNNNNNNNNNNNNNNNNNNNNNNNNNNNNNNNNNNNNNNNNNNNNNNNNNNNNNNNNNNNNNNNNNNNNNNNNNNNNNNNNNNNNNNNNNNNNNNNNNNNNNNNNNNNNNNNNNNNNNNNNNNNNNNNNNNNNNNNNNNNNNNNNNNNNNNNNNNNNNNNNNUGUUGGAAUUAUGCCCUAGAGGCAAUAAUAAAUGUGGUUAUUAUUAUAAUUCCUGUAUCAAGAUAAUAGUUUAUUAUCCAUGCUAUAAUUGUAUUGAAUGAAGACUCAUUUACAUGUGUGGAUACAUAGACAAAACACCGUCCCUAGCAUGCCUCUAGUUGGCUAGCCAGUUGGUCAAUGAUAGUCAGUGUCUUCUGAUUAUGAACAAGGUGUUGUUGCUUGAUAACUGGAUCACGUCAUUGGGAGAAUCACGUGAUGGACUAGACCCAAACUAAUAGACGUAGCAUGUUGAUCGUGUCAUUUUGUUGCUACUAUUUUCUGCGUGUCAAGUAUUUAUUCCUAUGACCAUGAGAUCAUAUAACUCACUGACACCGGAGGAAUGCUUUGUGUGUAUCAAACGUCGCAACGUAACUGGGUGACUAUAAAGAUGCUCUACAGGUAUCUCCGAAGGUGUUAGUUGAGUUAGUAUGGAUCAAGACUGGGAUUUGUCACUCCGUGUGACGGAGAGGUAUCUCGGGGCCCACUCGGUAAUACAACAUCACACACAAGCCUUGCAAGCAAUGUAACUUAGUGUAAGUUGCGGGAUCUUGUAUUACGGAACGAGUAAAGAGACUUGCCGGUAAACGAGAUUGAAAUAGGUAUGCGGAUGCUGACGAUCGAAUCUCGGGCAAGUAACAUACCGAAGGACAAAGGGAAUGACAUACGGGAUUAUACGAAUCCUUGGCACUGAGGUUCAAACGAUAAGAUCUUCGUAGAAUAUGUAGGAUCCAAUAUGGGCAUCCAGGUCCCGCUAUUGGAUAUUGACCGAGGAGUCUCUCACGUCAUGUCUACAUAGUUCUCGAACCCGCAGGGUCUGCACACUUAAGGUUCGACGUUGUUUUAUGCAUAUUUGAGUUAUAUGGUUGGUUACCGAAUGUUGUUCGGAGUCUCGGAUGAGAUCACGGACGUCACGAGGGUUUCCGGAAUGGUCCGGAAACGAAGAUUGAUAUAUAGGAUGACCUCAUUUGAUUACCGGAAGGUUUUCGGAGUUACUGGGAAUGUACCGGGAAUGACGAAUGGGUUCCGGGAGUUCACCGGGGGGGGCAACCCACCCCGGGGAAGCCCAUAGGCGUUGGGGGAGGCACACCAGCCCUUAGUGGGCUGGUGGGACAGCCCACAAGUGCUCUAUGCGCCAAGAGAAGAAAAAUCAAGAGGAAAAGGGAAAAAAAAGGAGGAGGUGGGAAAGGAGGAGGACUCCCUCCCACCAAACCUAGUCCAACUCGGUUUGGGGGGGGGAGAGUCCUCCCCCUUGGCUCGGCCGACCCCCUUGAGGGUCCUUGGACCCCAAGGCAAGGCCCCCUCCCUCCCACCUAUAUAUACGGAGGUUUUAGGGCUGAUUUGAGACGACUUUUCCACGGCAGCCCGACCACAUACCUCCACGGUUUUUCCUCUAGAUCGCGUUUCUGCGGAGCUCGGGCGGAGCCCUACUGAGACAAGGUCAUCAUCAACCUCCGGAGCACCGUCACGCUGCCGGAGAACUCUUCUACCUCUCUGUCUCUCUUGCUGGAUCAAGAAGGCCGAGAUCAUCGUCGAGAUGUACGUGUGCUGAACGCGGAGGUGCCGUCCGUUCGGUACUAGAUCGUGGGACUGAUCGCGGGAUUGUUCGCGGGGCGGAUAGAGGGACGUGAGGACGUUCCAAUACAUCAACCGCGUUCUCUAACGCUUCUGUUGUACGGUCUACAAGGGUACGUAGAUCACUCAUCCCCUCUCGUAGAUGGACAUCACCAUGAUAGGUCUUCGUGCGCGUAGGAAAAUUUUUGUUUCCCAUGCGACGUUCCCCAUCAGUACUGCUGCUGGUCAUCUGCCUGAGUUGUUGCUGCUCCUCUGCUGGAGUUGAUGCUCCUCUGCUCGAUCUACUCUGCCGCUGGUGAAGCUCUGCCCGUGGUACUGCUAUUCCUCUGCCCAUUUGCACCUGAAGAAGGUACUGAUGAAACUGUUUGUUGUUUACUGCUACCUAAAACUGCUGUUGUUUGAGAAACUGCAUUGCUUGAGAAACUUGUAAUGUUGUGGUAUCGAAAAUAAUUUUGUGCAAUACUUGUAAUGUUGUGGUAUCAAAAAUAAUUUUGUGGAGUAUCAGAAACAGAGAAGCCUGGUUCAAGGUUUUGCACUGGAAACAGAGCAGUCUGGUUCAAGGUUGUGCACUGGAAACAGAGCAAUCUGGUUCAAGGUUUUGCCUAGAUAAACCAGACCGGAUGAGAGACCAAAUACAUGGGCAAGUAGUCAAAAGAAACACAUAAUUUGCCUAGAAUCUUGUUGUCCUGUGAUGCAAGAAAAUUUCACCAUGUGUAUGUUGUGGAACGCUUACAGUUGCACAAAUCAGACAUAUCAGUAGGUUGGUUCAGGUGUUGGUUCUUGGCCUAUUAACAUAGAAAGCCCCUUUGUAACUACUAGGACAAUCAGCUUGUGUAAAGAUCAUAUUUAGAGACGAAUUGCAAGCAUUAACCUGAUCUUAACAUAUAUAAAUGGAUAUUAAGUUUUCCAUUUUAGGCGAAUACAGAUAGAGGUUUCAACUAGACCUAGUGAGAAAUGGUUCCAUGGUAGCAUUUCUUGUUUGGCUGUCGUAGCUCGAUUACAUAUUGUUUUUACGUGCGUAUAUAUUCUUGUUACAGUACCAUGGUGUACUCAUCUUUUGUCAUUGAUAGCAGGAGUAUGGAUUUGAACAUGAUACCUCAAGAGGAGGAUGAAGGUAUUAAUUUGAAUUGGAUCCCUCAAGAGGAAGAGGCUCAAGGGGGAGAGGAUGGAGGUAUGGAUUUGAACAUGAUGCCUCAAGAGGAAAAGGAUGAUGGUAUUAAUUUGAAUUGGAUCCCUCAAGACGAAGAGGAUCCAGGGGGAGAGGAUGGAGGUAUGGAUUUGAACAUGAUGCCUCAAGAGGAAGAGGAUGAAGGUAUUAAUUUGAAUUGGAUCCCUCAAGAGGAAGAGGCUCAAGAGGAAGAGGAUGAAGUUAUGAAUUGGAUACUUCAAGAAGAAGAAGAAGGUCAAGAAGGUGUACCAGGUAAACAGAAAAGAAAAGAAUUGUCAAAUAAGGAGAGGCAUGCUGUUUACUUUGCUCUGCUAGUAAUCGAGCUCAGAGAUGGAUCUGUUCAACCAAACGACAAGCUGCUAGUAUCAAUCUUGUUGAACAUACAUGUACGAUCUAUUGAGAGAAUCUGGUCGGAGCCAAAAAGCAGAUUGCCGCGGGCCAAGAAGUAGAUGUCUCCAACAAGAAGAAAGGAAGAGUUGGUCGAAAGAGAAAAGAGCUGGAUCUUGCAAGGACCUCAACAAUCCCAUUGAAUAGAAGAAGGACAAUUCGAUCUCUGGCACGGUCUCUCGGUGUGACCCGCUCAACCCUACAUCGGAGGUUCCAGUUAAAUGAGCUCAACCGCAUCACAAACACAGUCAAGACUUACCUCAAACCAGAGAACAAGAUUGCAAGAUUGAAGUUUUGUAUGUCCAUGCUCGAUGACAAUUGGAUCUCAACUUCCCAAGCUAUAUUCAAGCCAAUGACUAAUAUGGUCCAUAUAGAUGAAAAGUGGUUUGACAUGACAAGACUAAAGAACAACUACUAUGUACUUCCAGGAGAGCCUCCACCUGAGCGCACCGUGACAAACAUUAACAUCAUUGGGAAGGUAAUGUUUCUAACGGUUGUGGCCAGAUCUCGAUACAAUUAUGAUGGAGAGCUAACAUUUGACGGGAAGAUUGGUAUUUGGGCAUUCAUCAAAGAGUCUGAGGCAGUGCGAACGAGUCACAAUAGAGCAAGGGGAACGACAGUGCUGAAACCAGUGAAAGUAACGAGACCUGUGUGUAGAGAAUAUCUGAUCAAUAAGGUUAUACCAGCAAUUCAAGAUAAAUGGCCUGACGAUGAUGAGGGAGCAACAAUAUUCAUCCAACAAGAUAAUGCAAAGCCUCGCGUUCUUCCCAACGAUGAAGCUUUUCGAGAAGCUGUGGAAGAAACUGAUCUCGACAUUAAGUUGAUGCAACAACCUCCAAACAGCCCAGAUUUGAACUGUUUGGACCUCUGCUUCCACAAUUCUCUCCAGUCUCUAACCGAUUGUAGGUCACCUACAAACAUCCAGGAACUGAUACAGGGUGUGGAAGAGGAGUUUGAGAAUUAUGAUCCUCACAAGUUGUACAACAGCUUCAUCACAUUGCAAGCAGUUAUGUUUGAAAUUAUGAAAGAUCAAGGAGGAAACCAAUAUAAGUUGCCCCACUUACACAAGGAACGUCUUCAGAAUGACGGCAGAGAAAUAACAAGUGUAUAUUGUGACAGUCAGCUAGUUGCUGAUACUAGGGCCAUUCUAGAAGAAAUGCAAUAGGAAAAGGAAAGGAAGAAAAGAAGUAGUUGUAGAAAGGAAAAAAAGAAUUGAACUUAUCUGAAUUGUACUCCUUGUGUACUCCUUGUACUCCUUGUGUAUGUCUUGUGCAAUAGGAAAAUGCAAUUGGAAUCAUUUGAGAUCAAUGAUGAUACUGGUUAUCCAACAUUUCCAUCUUGUGUAUCGGAAUUCAUUUUAAUUGUUUGGACUAAUUUGUUUGAGUUUAUCUUGAGUUUAUCCAGCAUUUCCAUCUGUAUUGGAGAUCAAUGAUCUUGUGUAUUGGAAGGGUCAUGUACAUGGGGAUGUUGCCUCAAGUUUUAUUAAAUUUAUUGUUUCAGGUUUCAGUAUACAAAGAUUACUGGGGUAUUGUCUAUAGUUUGGAUAAACCAAAUAAAGUUCACAAAUCUUUAUUCCCUUUGUGCAUAAAGUUUACAAAUCCCAAGCAUAGAGUUGGGAUCAACAAAAAAAUUCUAAGCUUACAAAUCGUGAGUGCUUUCAUCUCAAAAAAAUUCUAAGCUUACAAAUCCAGAACUGGUAGCCUUCCUUAUCUCAAUUCUCUGGUACUGAUUUUUGCUCUCUUUUUUUACCUUCCUUCAACAAGUUGUUCCUUGAACUGCAGGUACUCAGGGACAGUCAACUCCUCGUCGUCUGAAUUCUCAAGUACAGUAGUACUAGUAGCUUGGUUCAGGUUGAUUCUCAAUGAUGCCCUGCACUUGACACUAAAGCCUCCAGCCUGCAGAUAUACAAACGAAAUACAGAUACAUGCAUCAGUCUGAACCUGAAGAAGAAGGAAUGCAACCUGUGAAAUGUGUGAAAUGCUCCUACCAACAGACAAUGGAUGGUUUUUUUGUUUUGAUUGGUCUUGCUCUCGGUUUGAAGAUGAAGUGGUGUUAUUUCGCUUACCGUUGAUGUUCAAGUGUAGGCUUUUGCCUGCCCAGCACCUCUUAACCAUGUCAUCUCCUUGCAGUGCGUCUGGUUCAGGCCGAGCUCCGGGAAGCGGCUGCGCAUCAGCGGCAGCAGCGUGUCCGACGUCCCCAGGUACAUGGACUGGAAGUUGGCCUCCUGUUUCUACACGAGCACCCUGAUGAAGAGGUCUUCGGGGAGAGCUGGGGCGACUUGUUGCCAUCUGGUGAGGACGUCCACGGCGCCCUGGUCGACGGACUUCGUGACGCUGAACAUUGUCACUGUCGGGGGACGGGAACGUGCUUCACCUGCCACGAGAGCACGACGCCGAAGCUCUCGCCGACGCCGUUUCCGACGCAGCCGGAGAAGACGGCGGCGGUAGGUGGAGAAAUCAUUGCUUUUUAUGAGGAAGGGGGAAGCUUGGGGAGGCAGGCGAGUCGCAACUGCGGCGGCGGAGCGGCGGGGGACCGGGGGAGCAGGGGAGUUGCGGCAGGCGGAGCUGCAGCGGGCGAGCGGCAGCUGCGGCGGGGGAGUAGGGCAGCUGCGGCGGCGAGGAGCAGGCAAGCUGUAGCGAGCGUAGAUGGGGCAUCUGUCGGAGGAGGAGGACGAGGAGCGCGGGUUUGGUCGGGAGAAGCUGUAGGGGCUUUUCGCAAAAUUACCGUCGCGACAUUAAUUUCGGGACGGAGGGAGUAGCAUCUAAUCCUUCCAAAUAACACAGAACAUACGUGUUGCACGACCCAAAUGGGGCCCGGUCAAUGACAUCAAUCCCAUAUGUCACUCUCUGCUCCUACUACCUCGCUGUCCAUUACUUCAUGGUAAAUCUGGGGACGAGGAGGACAUGGUCGUCUGUCUGGCUCUUCACCUCCCUCGGGAGCAGUGCACUCGACCACGGUUGGACUCUAACCGGUGGAAAUCCAUGGUGUCCGUUCAAAUGUCGUUUGGAUGCGCAGGGAUGAUUGCUCGAGGCGUGCGGGCGCGGCCUCGACGGACACAGUGAUCGCCGUCCAAUUCUAGUAUGAUGAUGCAACCCCUUUGGUGGUGCCUCAUCCCUACGCCCUCGGGCUCGGAGUCGAAGAUCUGCACCGGCAUGAGUUACGGUCCAUCUUCUAACAUGGAGUGGCAUACCCGUCGUGCAAGGCAAAGGCCGCGUGGCGAGACGUAGAUGCUCUAACCACAUCUAGAUGGGAUCACAUCGAUUUAUGAUAUCCCGACUUCCCGAUCAACGAGUCUCCUCUGAUCAAAACCAUGUUACCCUAAUAUGCAUGUAAAAAAGUUAGGCUAAUAUGCGCGUAAAAAAGUUGAUUAACUGCUGCUAAAAUGGUGUGAUGUGAUAAGCCGGCCCUCCCCAACAAGAAAUAAUAACAACUGCCCCCCUAUCUCUCAUAUCCAAUUUAUAUAUGAGCCGGAUAUAGCGAGGACUGGAUGCGUCCGUCAGGUUGUAUCCGGCUCACGCUGGUUCAUCCCGACCCAUAUAUAUCCGUCUCUAUCUCCAACCUGGACGAAACCCUAGCUACUCCACCCCUCUUCUUAGCUCCGUUCCGAUGAUCUCCAGCCAUCUCCGACAUUACAGGCAGCGUCCGACACGGAGUUGGGAUCUCGCCCCAUGCGGGGAUGAGGAGGACAUGGCCGUCCGGCCGGCACUUCGCCGCCCCCGGAAGGAGUGCGCUCGACCACGGUUGGACUCUAUCCGGCAAAAACCCAUGGUGUCCGUUCAAAUCUCGCUUGGAUCCGCAGGGAUGAUGGCUCGAGGCGUCCGGGCGCGGCCUUGCCGGACGCGGUGACCACCAUAAUAUUCUAACUCCGGGAUGGCGAUGCAACCCCUCCGGUUGCGCAUCAUCCCUAACAUGGAGCGGCGUACGCCGUCGUGCGAGGCAUAGGACGCGGGGGCGAGGUGUAGAUGCUCUAACCGCAUCUGGAUGAGAUCACAUCGAUUGAUGAUGUCCGGAUAAACGAGUCUCCUCAGAUCAAAACCGUGUAAUAAUCCUACAAAAUAAAGACAUCGCCCAACGUGUUCCAGAACGCUCUGAAUGAGACCCCGCGAAUGGCAACAACCAUACCAUUUAUGAGCAAGUUUUGUCAGUCCCCCCACCCGGCCAGCCCGUGACAUCGAUGUAGCAGCUUCCGUUCCUAUUUAACCAGCGUACCAUUUGCACUACAUUGCAUCACAGCAAGCACACACACACACACACUCUCUAGAGAAAUGGCGAUGGCUAGGACGACGGCGCUCCUCCUCGUCGCCGCGGCUCUCCUGGCGGCCUCAUCCAGCGCAUGGGAGGUGAACAUCCAGAUGCCGGCGUCGGCGGCCGUGGACGAUGCUGUGGCACCGCUCAUCCACGCGCUGCGGCCGCUCCUGGGCUCCGGCAAGCAAGCCGGCGUGGCGUGCGAUAGCUGGCGGCUGGGCGUGGAGGCGCACAACGUGCGGGACUGGAAGACGGUGCCCGCCAGCUGCGAGGAUUACGUCGGCCACUACAUGGUCGGCGACCACUACCGCCGGGACUCCAAGGUCGUCAUCGACCAGGCCAUCGCCUACGUCGACUCCCUCAAGCUCGCCGGCAACGGCAAGGAGGUCUGGGUCUUCGACGUCGACGAGACCACCCUCUCCAACCUCCCCUACUACGCCAAGCACGGCUUCGGGUACGU